rnacentral:lncRNA from 1 species
CCCCCCACCCCUUGUCGCACCUGCUGCCGCGUGUCACCUGCUCCGUCAUCGCCACUCCGCACCCGACCACCCCCACUCGCUUAUAAAUUCCCCCACUAGCUCCCUCAACUCCUAUCUCGCUCAAAGCAAAGCACACUCCAUAUAAAAUCCCCUCUGCCAAAUCGCAAGCAACUCAAUUUUCCACUCCCUCGCCCCUAAUAUCACAAUGCUUGGUGAUUCUUGGGUUGAAGACUGUUGUGCAUGGUUCAACAUCUUCGGUUUCCUCCUCUGUAUGAUGGUAAUACUCUUUGAUAGAAUCCUCCAGUGGGAAGAGCAAAGAGAAAGAAAGGGUCAGUGAGAAGAAGAAAGUGAAGAGAAGAUAAGAAGAAGGUUCUCCCAGAAUCAACCCCGUGCCAGUCAUCUCUCUGCUGCCUGCUCAAGCAUCAACAGUAGAAGAAGGCCCCGUAACACCCGUGUUAUGAGGUACUUCAAGGAGUUCAAAUCCCCAAGAUUCAAGAGUUCUACCCUCAUUCUUUUUAAGUGGGGUAGUGUUCCAGUAAGGUUCCUAUGGAAAAAAAGAAGAAGGCCUGUAGCAAGCUUGUGGAGGACCAGAUCAUCGAAGCUUAUGAGUUUCUGGAUGAGAAGUGGUCACCCAAGUUCCAUUGAUGAAGCACUAGAAGACCAAUCAAAGAAGAAAUCCAUGUGGAAGUUCGUAAGAGGAAGGUUUGCGUGUUGGCAUCGUUGCUUCUUCAAUAAGCUAGCUGCCAAGCGAAACCUAGAAGCCUGAAGAUGAUCUUUGAGUAGCCAGAAUCAGCGUUUGCAAUCAGCAACCGGAUGCUCCUCAAGAGCCAGAUUUUUGAAGCUCUAUCUCCUCGAAGAGUCUGCAAAGUGAAGAUAUGUAGCUGAAGUAAAGCUAUACCCAUAACCCUUCUAAGCCGAAUCUCGAGGACGAGAUUCCUUUUAAGUGGGGUAGAUUUGUAGCAUCCCAAAAAUUCAAAUCUUGGAAUUUUCUCGAACUCGCUCUAAAUUCAAAAUGAAUUUCAAAUUUCAUUUCAAAAUGUUUGUUUGCGAGUUGAUAUCAAUAAAUAAAAUUAUAGUGGUCUAUAUUCUCUCUAAAAUCUCCUCAAAAUAUCCUACAAAUAUUUCCCCAGUGACCACCCUCAAACUCUUUCAGAAAUACUGCCCAAAUAUUGCACUGAUAUAUCUCCAAGUAUUUUCUUCCUCAGAAAUACCUUCCGAAUCAUUUCUAAAGUCCCCACAAAUAUUUUCUUCAUAACUUUCCUCAUGCCCAUACGUAUACGUAUGCCUCCGGUGUCAUACGGUGAGCUCUACAAGCUAAUUACACUCAUAUAAGACAAAUCCAUGCUAAUCUCCCACUAAUCCUCUCAUCCUCCCACUAAUCCCCUCAUCCCUCCCCCUAAUCCCCCACCAUGGCUGUAAAUAGAGGGGCAAGGGCCUCCUCUCAUCCCACCCCAAGCCAUUUCAUGGCAACUCCCUCCCCCCCCCACACCCACACGCCCACUCCCACUCCCACUCCACCUCCCACACAAGCACACACUAGCACAAGGAUCGUUCGGUCGUUCUUCGAUCGUUCGUCCCCCUGUUCUUAGUUUGUUCGUUCGUUCAUCCGAUCGUUCGAUCGUUCGUCCGAUCGUUCAUGGUUCGUUCGUCCGUUCGUUCGAUCGUUCGUCCGUUCGUUCGUCCAAAUAAUCUUUUUCCUGCCGUUAUGCUGCCAAAAUUCCGAUCGUUCGUUCGUCCGAUCGUUUGAUCGUUCAUCCGAUCGUUCAUGGUUCGUUCGUCCGUUCGUCCGAUCGUUCGAUCGUUCGUCCGUUCGUUCGUCCAAAUAAUCUUUUUUCCUGCCGUUAUGCUGCCGAAAUUCCGAUCGUUCGUUCGUUCGAUCAUUCGAUCGUUCAUCGUUCCUAUCCAUCAUUCAUCGUUCGUUCAUACGAACUAUUUACCAUCACUAUUUACCGUCACUAUUUACCGUUACUAUUUACCGUCACUAUUUACCGUCACUAUUUACCGUUACUAUUUACCGUUACUAUUUACCGUCACUAUUUUUACCAUCACUAUUUACCGUCACUAUUUACCAUCACUAUUUACCGUUACUAUUUACCGUUACUAUUCACCGUUACUAUUCAUUGAUCAUCCGAUCACCCCAAAUUUCAACUACUCAUCCGUCAUGUUGUCCAGUCCACCUAAGACCAGCCAGACCCAUAUUUCAGUCAUACGAACUCCAGUGACUGUGAUUUUCAUCCCAGUAGGGAACUUCCCAUCUGGUCACCCAUCCCAGGUUUCUCCAAGUUGAGCACGCUUAACUUUGAGAUUCCUUCGAACCAGGCUUCCAAACUUCGAUUCCAAUAAUUCUUGUUUCUAAAUUUUUAUCGAAUUAUUCCCUAUCUAACCAUGUCAUCCCUUAAGCAUGGUUCAUGUUCCAGAAAAAUCCCAAAAUACUCUUGUCCCAUAUUCUGCCUAUAACUCUCUUGUUCAUACUAAGUCAGACGAUUCAUUCGUCACUAUCCUCACCAACAGUGAACUUCACUGUGCUACACCACAUACACCCAGCUAUAAAUACACCCAGCUACCCUCUCCCUCUCCACACACACUCAACACCCUCAGCCAAGGCAAACGCCCACCCACUCAGUUACUCCGCUCUACCGGCUACACGCAUAGUGUCGCUUCGCCUCCAGUCCACCCUCCUGGUAAGCACCUCUGCUCCACCACUAGUAGUAUCUCAACACCACAUGACGCAGAUUCUACUCAAGACUCUACCCAUCCAUAUAUCUCUAUUCUGACCACUAUACUAAAUAUUUGUUGGUAUACUUGCUUGUUUGUAUGUUUGCUUGUUCAUGUUGCAUAGUUAUCGGAGCAUACGUGCUGUCUCGUGGAGGCCAAAUCUGCAAGUCUACGCCAGGCGGUGGAGCCAGAAGCCAGUUCCGCGAGCUCUCCUUCCCCCUUCACCGGAUAAGCACGGCAAGCUCACUGGAUCCCUUUGAUGCAUAAAUUACCUAUGAUUUUUCAACCACAACCCUCAGCUUGUUAUUUUAUGCAUGAUAUGAUUUUGAGACAAGUUAUUAUGGCCACCCAAGCCGCUUGCCGCAAUCAAUCCUUAAUAUAUUUGAUACAAAUGAUUUGAGAAAAGGUGUGAGUUUUUCAAAGGAAAAUGCUUUUCAAAAUGUGUAUGAUGAAGGGUUUUCACCCUUAUCACCUUUGAGUAGGGAUGAUCAGGGACUCCCUGGUUUAGGGGAGGGCCUAAGGUGUUGGCUCAGCUGGUUUAGGCGUGAGCAGAAGGAUUGUCCCCUCAUAUAAGGACCGGUUUGUCAUCUUCACUACUUAUACUCUUUAAUAGUACAACCACUCGAGGCUGUGUGGGCAGUCACUCAAUCUGAACUCGUGCGGUCCGACCCCAGGGUUAUGAAGGCUGGGGAGCACCGGGAGGAUAAGGAGGGGGAAAGUUUUGUCCGGUUUGGACAUGGUGGUGGCCUGACUCCUUCCGGACCGUUAAGGUUAGGACGUGCGGGGAAAGAAAGAGAUUCGGAUUCGGGUCUCACUAGCUAUGAGAUCGCAGAGCCGGACUAGUGGGUAAAGUGUACACCUCUACGCAGAGUUCAAACCUAUUCGAAUAGUCCGUGUCCACUGGAAUGGACGAGUCUGGUAUGGUAUGGCAAUUAAUGUUUUGUUUUCAAAAAAGGGUGUGUUUGAGAAAAAUGUUUUUUUAAAGGUUCGGCGGUUGAGCCGUGAGCUAUGGUGGACGGGAAGUCCAGUAGCUGUUUUUGAAAAUGAAAACCAGUGGGAAACUGCUGAGAUACCUGGAUGGUUUAGUCCAGGGGAUUUUUGUUGUUUCUGCAAAAUAUCCUGUAUAAAAUAUUGUUGUUUCUGCAAAAUAUCCUGAGCUCCAUAUAUUCCAUGCAUUAUAUCUGAUUUCCCCAUUCCGCGGGUGAAGGUGGGCUGCUGAGUACGUUUGUACUCACCCUUGCUUAUUUAUUUUUUUCAGAAAAAGGAGAUCGGAUAAGAGUUACGACUGUUCCCAACCUUGCAUGUGGCUGUUGGACCGCUGAUUUGCUUCGUUGCGUAUAUUGGGCUGCUUCAGCCCCACUUUGAUGAUAUGUCCCAAAUUGUGGACCAACUCUUAAAGUUGAUCGCCACCUUUAUAGGUUUGUCUCGUUUAAGUAGAUCUGUAAUCAUCUAAUGUAUAAAUGUGUUUACUAGCCUCCUGGGACUAGUAAUUGUAUCACAUUGAGUCCCAGAGGAUUGGGACGCUUCACUGGCGCACCGGACUGUCCGGUGCACCAUGCGACAGACAGCCCCACCAACCGGCUAGUUUGGUGGUUGGGGCUAUAAAUACCCCCAACCACCCCACAUUCAAGUAAUCCAAGUUUUCCACUUCUCAACCACUUACAAGAGCUAGGCAUUCAAUUCUAGACACACCAAAGAGAUCAAAUCCUCUCCAAUUCCACACAAGGCUUUAGUGAUUAGCGAGAGAGAUUUGUCGUGUUCCUUUGAGCUCUUGCGCUUGGAUUGCUUCUUUUCUUUCUCACUUGUUCUUGUGAUCAAAACUCCAUUGUAAUCAAGGCAAGAGGCACCAAUUGCAAUUGUGUGGUGGCCCUUGCGGGGAAGUUUUGUUCCCGGUUUUGAUUUGAGAAGAGAAGCUCACUCGGUCUGAGGGACCGUUUGAGAGAGGGUAAGGGUUGAAAGAGACCCGGCCUUUGUGGCCUCCUCAACGGGGAGUAGGUUUGCGAGAACCGAACCUCGGUAAAACAAAUCCGCGUGUCACACUCUUCAUUUGCUUGCGAUUUGUUUUGCGCCCUCUCUUUCGAACUCGUUAUUAUUUCUAACGCUAACCCGGCUUGUAGUUGUGAUUAAUUUUGUAAAUUUCAGUUUCGCCCUAUUCACCCCCCCUCUAGGCGACUAUCAGGAGCGGUUCGCGAGCCUCGAAUGAGCCGAGCCGAGUCCCUUCUUUGAGCUCGUUUUUGCAAUGAGCCGAGCCGGCUCACUAGCCUUGCAAAAUUGAUCAAUUUAUAAAAUAAUAAUGAAUAUUAGAUAAUUUUAUGGAUAAUAGCUCAUUUUUUAAAAUUUGACGAUGAAUAUAUUACAAUUUAUAAUUUAAAUUACUCAUACUGUUGAAUGGUGAUUCUAUGUUUUAAAUUUAUAUAAUGUUAAUUCACUAAAUAAUGCAACAAUAAGUACGAGAAUAUGGCUCGCAAGUCAAUGUUGAGCCGAGCUUCUUUCGCCAGCUCGUGAAAUGGACGAUGGCUCGGCUCAUUUCCAGCCCUAGUUGUGAUCCCCAUGCUGUGGUUUUUUUUUGUGCUUAGAAAAUGACCAUUAAUGUUGUCUUAGGCCGUAUAUUCAAGUACUUGUAUUCAACUUUAUAUACCAUCAGCGUUAAUGAUUUUUCUGUACUAUAAAUGGCCUGCUUGGUAACUCCAGGAGAAUUCUAAUGGCAACGAUACUAGUUACACGGUACAAAAUUAUGAUGAAGGAGCAUCCACUUCAAACAAAUUCAAAUCUAAAUUUAGAGAUCUAAGGAGAAGGUGAACUAAUUACCUCCUGUUAUCGAAAUGCUGCUGAUCUUGUUUGAUUUUUUAACAACGUCUAGUUCUUGAUUUAUUAUGUUAACAUAUUAAUUCCGCUGUUCUUUUUUAUUUGUCGUGUUUUAGUUAAAAAAAAACUAGACAGUGACAAAUAUUCGAGAACGGACUAGUAAAAUAGAGCAAGUACUGUUUCGCACUCCGGUGAUUCAAUUCUCUUAUUACGCAGCACCUCAUCUUUCGCUUUACUGGACAAAAAAUAUCUUGCUCCUAUUUUCACUUCGCAAAACGGAGACUGCAAUGUUGAUACUACAGAAAAUCCCAGUAAGAGAACUCGUCACAGUAACUUAGAAUCUUAGAUACUCUUUCCUUGAAGAGUUUCCUCACUCUAUCCCGGUUCCUUGUUAUCCAAAGUGAACAUUUUUUUUAAGUUGACUGUUCCUUGGGACUAACUAUUAGCUCUUGGAUGCAGAUGAAGAAUUGACGGUAUCCAGAGGGCCUGGGGUUUUGGAGGUACAUGAUUGAUGAGUGAUGACCGCAGAUAUGAAGUGCUUAUCUUGCAGUAAUCUACAUGAUAUGGGUAAUAUCCUGAUACUUUAGCUUCGGAUUCGGGUUGGAUACGGAGCGAGGACUACCCGGAAAAUACCCGGAUAUUCGGGUCGGAUACGGGUACCCGGAAUUUGGGUACCCGUUUUUUCUUUUUCUGCAUAAUAUAGUUAUAAAAUCAUAACUUUUACAUAUGAAAUCGAAUAUAGAUAAAGUUUAUAUGAAAAUUUUAGAUCUUGAAGAGAUAUAUAACUUUGUAAUACAUCAUUUUUUUGUUUAAACAUAUCUUUAGACCAAAAUCAUUGAAAUAAUGUCCAAAUUUAUAUUAAAUCAAUAGACUUUAUCUUUUUUAUGUGGGGGCUUAAGGUUAUCUCCACGUAAGAACUUAAGGUUAUCUUUUUAUAGACUAUUUAUUAGUAUUGAUAGCUUAUUUGUAUUUUUUGGUCGGUACUACAAUAUUUUAAGGAUUUAUUGUAUUUUGAUGAUUUUCUAUGACAAGAAAUUAACAGUACAUAGAUAGCCUCAAAAAAUCGUGAAAUUCUACGGAGACACAACAUAUGUCCAUAUAUAACAAUAAAAAAAUAUUUGGAUCAUAAGAUCUAUAAGAUGUCCGUGUUUCUUCCAUUUCACUUUCACUUAUUUGUAUGAGUUACAUGUGAAAUCAGUGUAAGUAUCCAAGUUUUAACAUAAUCAGUACUUUACUUUAUCAUUUUCAUAUGAGGACAUGAGUUAUCUUCGUAUAAAUUGUUUAUUAGUUUUUGUAACUUAUUUGCAAAUUUUGAGUGAAACUAGAAUAUUUUAUGAAUUUUACAUAUUGCGGUGUUGGUUAUACAAUGUCCUUGUGAUAAGUAACUUUGAACUGCAUGAUGUCAAUUUUAUCGGUUUUCUUUCUUACAUUUGAUCUAUCAUAUACAUGAUUAUAUAUUGCUUAACUUAUGUGUUUGUUAGAUGGUUGGACAAUUAAUAUCAUCGGACGAACUACCCGACAAUUAUUCGGUACCUACCCGAGUAGUAUCCGUUAUCUGUUUCUUACCCGUUCGGAUUAUUAACCGGUCUCGCCAUAUAUCCGUCCUGAAUCUUAACUACCCGUAUUCGGUCUCAUAUCCAAAAGAAAUACAUUAAGGUAGGAUACAGGAUAACCCUAUAUCCAGCUAUAUCCGUCCCGUUUUCAUCCAUAACUUAGAUACUCCUUCCUUGAAUAAUUUCCUCACUUUAUCCCGGUUCCUUGUUAUCCAAAGUGAACAUUUUUUUUAAGUUGAUUGUUCCUUCGAACUAACUAUUAGCUCUUGGAUGCAAAUGCAGAUGAAGAAUUGACGGUAUCCAGAGGGCCUAGGGAUUUGGAGGUACAUGAUUGAUGAGUGAUGACCGCAGAUAUUAAGUGCUUAUCUUGCAGUAAUCUACACGAUACUCUUGUACCUUUCUCGGCGACCCAAAGUGGAGAGUGAAACCAGACAUUCAAACAUAGCAUUGCCUUUAUUAUUAAGCUAUAAACAUUAAUUAGGUAGCCUAUAACUAUACAAAACUCUGUUUUACAAUAUAUACUAUAACUAGUUAGUUGCUCGUGCGUUGCGACGGUACACGAACACCGCUGAUAAAAGCAUUAGUAGUAAUUAAUUUUGGAUCACUUCAUGAGAUGUGCUCUCCCGACAGGAGGAAAAGGAGGAAAGACCCAUUCAUCUUUUAUUCAUCAAUUAGAACAAAGUAGAAGAAGCAACUAAACACCAUACAUGUUCAUAUAUCAAACCCAUAUAUUGUCUAAUAGCUACACAUGUAGUCAACAAGAUGUUAUUAAUCAAUUACGAGACUUCCUAUGGAUACGCGAUGUGUCAAUACUAAUACGCCAUUUUUUUCCUAAAAACAAUGAUAUAGGGAUAUUGUGGGGGACAGUGAAAGUCGCCUAGAGGGGGGUGAAUAGGGCGAAUCUGAAAUUUACAAACUUUAAACACAACUACAAGCCGGGUUAGCGUUAGAAUUAAAUGCGAGUCCGAAAGAGAGGGCGAAAACAAAUCACAAGCGAAUAAGAGCAGAUGACACGAUGAUUUGUUUUAUCGAGGUUUGGUUCUUGCAAACCUACUCCCGUUGAGAUGGUCACAAAGGCCGGGUCUCUUUCAACUCUUUCCCUCUCUCAAACGGUCACUUAGACCGAGUGAGCUUCUCUUCUCAAUCAAACGGGACACUAAGUCCCCACAAGGACCACCACACAAUUGGUGUCUCUUGCCUUGGUUACAAUUGAGUUGGAAUCAAGAAAGAAGGAAGAAGAAAAACAAUCCAAGCGCAAGAGCUCAAAUGAACACAAGUAUCUCUCUCUCACUAGUCACUAUUUGAUUGGAAUUGUCUUUGGACUUGGGAGAGGAUUUGAUCUCUUGUUUGUGUCUUGCAUUGAAUGAUACAGCUCUUGUAUGAGGUGUGAAGGCUGAAAACUUGGAUGCAAUGAAUGGUGGGUGGUUGGGGGUAUUUAUAGCCCCAACCACCAAAUGACCGUUGGUGGAGGCUGCUGUCGCAUGGCGCACCAGACAGUCCGGUGCGCCAGCCACGUCAUCCGGCCGUUGGAUUCUGACAUCUGGUGCACCGGACAGUCACUGUUCACUGUCCGGUGCGCCUUCUGGCUCUGCUCUGACUUCUGCGCGCACUGUAGCGCAUUUAUUGUUCGUUGCAGACGACCGUUGGCGCUGUGUAGCCGUUUUCCGCUGGCACACCGGACAGUCCGGUGCUACACCGGACAGUCCGGUGAAUUAUAGUGGAGUGGCUCCCAGAAUUCCCGAAGGUGGCAAUUUAGACUAGAAUUCCCUGGUGCACCGGACACUGUCUGGUGGUGCACCGGACACUGUCCGGUGCGCCAGUGUCACACCCGGCUUUAAGGAACAAUGCCAAGUGCAUCUCAUACAUGCACCAAGAAGACAACAUAUAUAAUAACAAAGUGUAUAGAUAUAAAUGUCACAAUAACAUCAGAGUACAUAUUACAUAGUGGAAGUCUUAUUACAAAUUAAAAGAUAAAUAUAAAACGAACUAAGGAUCAUCCUUGGCGCAAAGUCAACUAGGGGAAACGCCACCUAGAUCAGAUCAAACCCCUCGCUUUGUGGCUCCUCCUGAACCACCUGUUCUUCUCCUGUGGGGGUGUGAGACAACAAGGGUGAGCUCACACAUGUUCAUCGCUCAACAAGUUGUGGGGAAUAAUGUGGCACGAACUCACCAAAGGUGGGAGCUCAUGUUAUGUGUAAGGCUGAUCAACAAUAGAGGUUUAAAGCUGAGCAUUGCUUUUAAAGUUGGUCAAAGUUUUAUUAGCAAUUACUAAAUGUAAGUAGAUACCAAACCUUAAUAAAAAUAAUAGAACAAAAUUAAUAAAUAAUCCCAUGCAGAUGCAAAUGACAAAUUGAGUUUAGGUUCCAUAAUUUAAUCAUCAGAGAGUCCUGAGCUGCUCAUGACCGUGAGCUCGGCUAGUAUACCAGUUUUACACUCUGCAGAGGUGGUACCCUUUACCCACAAGUCGUGUAUCCCAUGUCGCUAGGGUUAGCUAGACCCUUAGACACUACCGAGGUGAAUGACUAGGGAUCCACUACGAGGCAUUUACAAAGUUCCACUAGCUUCCAAAAACCCGCUACAGUUUAUGGGAAGAGCACUUGCAAGAAUCCCCUGUCUGACCGCCAUCGCAGCUAAAUCAACCCGAGAACCUCCUUGCAUGCAACUCCCCUACUGCCCUUGCCCCUUUCGGGUAAGGUAGUCUUCCACUAGCUUUCCUAAUUAGUCAGCCAAGGGCAUCCCAUUAAUCCCUUGUGGUGGCACGUGUUACUCAAGUUAAGCUCUAUAUUCCAAUUAACAUUAAUGAUCUUGACAUGAACAUAAAUAGAAUAACAAAAGAAUUGGAACAUAGAUAUAAUAAAUGAUUAUCCCAAAACCAUGUAAAGCAAUAGCAAAACUACCCAAGUGAUUCAGGGGUAAACAAGGUAAUGAGAUAAUAGGGUGACCUAUCGGGUUCCAUCAAAAUUAACCUAUGCAUAAAUAAAUGAUAUUAAUGAACAUUAUUGGGUAAAAAGUGGUCAAGGGCACAACUUGCCUGGCACUUGAGAUUCCAGGUACCAUCUUGCUCUUCAGGUGACUCGUAACCUCACGCUAGUCGUAGCAAUACAAACAAACAUGGUAUAGGCAAGAUUAACAUCACACCAAUCAUAAGAAUAAAUUGCGUAAUAAUAAUCUACGCGUCGUUAUGAGAUCGUGGGAUCGAGAACUACUAAGAUCGGAGUCAUGGUUAAGGAGUUAUGAUUUCUCAAAGGUUUUAUGUGAUUAAAUAAGAAAACUAGGUUCUAAGUUGAUUAUUAUAAAUCAUGUGAGAAGGAUAUUCCUAAGAAACCAUUAAUUUAAUUUUAAUCCAUGUUAUAACUUGAUUAGAAAACAUAUUUUAGUCAAAUUACAACUAGGAAGUGAAAAUACACUUUAAUUUUAAAUUAAAGAAGUUAAUCCAAUGAACAUAGGGUAAACAAUUAAUUAUUUACAAACAUGUUUCAUGAUAAAACAAGGUUACCAAUGUGUAGAUAAUUCUAUUACAAAGCUAACACAACUGGAAUGGGUCAAUUCGGAGUUAAAAUAAAGGAGAUAUGAUUUUUCGAAGUUUAGGGAAUUAUUUUUAUACUUAAAAUACUUUCUAUAUUCAUUUUAUAAUUUCCUGACCGCGCAAAUACCAGGGCCUCGGUUGUAAGGGUUUCUUUACUACCGAGGACGGCGGGUUUAUUUGCUAGUUUUACGAGGGCUCUUAUGUAAAGAUGGCACAGCGAAGGGGUAUGGAGAGAUUCGAGCCGUCCGAUAGCAAGUCAAGGGCCGAGAUCAGAUCUGCCCAAGAUCAAAAUGGUAUGCGCUAGAAGCCGCAAGAUUAAAAACCGAUGGUCAGGAUUUAAACACCUAGGAACUAAUCUACAGUCUACAUUCGCAAAUCCAACGGACAACAUCGAUUGGAACGAAUGGGUAAAAUAGGAUCUAAUCCUAGCCACCCAUCGCGAGGUUGACGGCCACAGACCCGCCUUCCUCCUUCCCUGAGCCAGGCCGAGCGGCGCCGCACCGGGGACUACACGGCGGUGCACCAUGGCUGGUGCAUGUCAUUCCGCGCAUCAGGGCACAAUCCACUAAUCGAAAAGGCUCAACACGCAGCAAAGGGUAGGGCGAUUCGGGUGUGCUUCCUUUUACCAGAGACGAAGGUGUCGAAGCGGCGUCCACGCGAGAGGGGCAAUCCGUGAUGUAGACUUGAUGCUAGCACCAGAUUCUAGCUCCGGGAAGGGAUGUGUGAAGUUGUGGCCAAGUGUUCCAUUUAUAGGCACGAGGAGGGACGAAGCUUGCCUGGUUUCGAGGGAUUUCCAUCGAUGGUUGUUGCGAUUCCCCCGCGAGCGCGAUUUCUUGCAAUCCGCCCGGCGGAGUUGGGCAUGACCAAGGCAGGGCAGGUCUACCUAGUGGGGCCCGCACAUCAGUGGUGUGCCACGACGCGCUGACAACAGGGACGCACAAGGCGGUGACCGACCUGUCGGUGUAAGGCGAGACUUGAGGAUUCCGACCACACCAGCGCACGGAUGGCGGAAGUUUGUUGGGGAAGAAGACCUGACGAGGCGGCCCCAUUUACCAGAGACUGCGAGCGCGUGCGACGCAAGCCGGCGGCAGACACUGAUGGCACGGGCCCACGGCACAGCGGCGGUAGAGGGCGCACGGGGCUGAGGGGAAGUGGGCCGCGCAGAAGAGGGAAAUAGGAGAGGAAUGGGCCGGCAGAGGGGAAUGUUGGCCCAGCUACGGGUACAGCCACAUUUUUUUCUUUUAUUUUUUUGAUUUCAUAUUUAAAUCCUAAUUUCAAAUCAGGUUUUUAAAUUCCAGUUUAGAAUUAAAUGUAAAUAGAGUUCAAGCUUACAACAAUUUAUGUGCACACACAAAACUCCAAUAUGAAUUCACAAGUAUAAUUUUUGUUAUUUAUUAUCCGUUUUAGCAAUUGUUCUCAACAUACAAGCCAUAAAGAUUAUUUUUAGGAGAAAUAAAUUAUAAUGUGUAACCUUCAUUAAAAGGUGAUUUUACUUACCCUCCUUAAGAAUGUCCAUCAACCAUAUUAGUAAAAAGAAAUCUAAUUCAUAUGAAGAUCUUUCCACUUUCUUUGAUUUCUUUAUUUAUUUAUUUUCUAAUUGCAUAAACUAAUGCCAUUAGUUAAGUAUGAAAGAAGGAAAUCAAGAAAUCCCUAAAACACCCAAUUAUUUAUUUAUUUAUUUAUUUAUUUUAUUAUUUUUUUCUUAUACCAAUUUUGGGCUUUACAGCCAGACCAGGGCACACUUCGGUUGCCUUUUGCUCUCUUUGUUUGAACUCUUUCUUGGUCUUUUUAUUGAUUUGCUGUGAACCUUUGGCACCUGUAAAACUUAUAAUCUAGAGCAAACUAGUUAGUCUAAUUAUUUGUGUUGGGCAAUUCAACCACCAAAAUCAAUUAGGAAAAGGUGUAAGCCUAUUUCCCUUUCAAUCUCCCCCUUUUUGGUGAUUGAUGCCAACACAAACCAAAGCAAAUAUAUAAGUGCAUAAUUGAACUAGUUUGCAUAAUGUAAGUGCAAAGGUUACUUAAAAUUAAACCAAUAUAAAUUCUCAUAGGAUGUGCAUGGAUGCUUUCUUCAUAUUUAAAAUUUUGGACCACGCUUGCACCACUUGUUUUGUUUUUGCAGUUCUUUUGUAAAUUCUUUUCAAAGUCCUUUUGCAAAUAGUCAAAGGUAAAUGAUUAAGAUUUUGAGAAGCAUUUUCAAGAUUUGAAAUUUUCUCCCCCUGUUUCAAAUGCUUUUCCUUGAGUUAACAAAACUCCCCCUCAAUAAAAUCCUCCUCUUAGUGCUCAAGAGGGUUUUAGAUAUUAAUUUUGAAAGGGGUUAUACCAAUUUGAAAAAUUCUAUCAAAAUAAGAUACCAAAUUGAAAACACUUCUUUAAAUACAAAUUGAAAAACUAAAUUUUUGAAAUUGUGGUGUGGUCCUUUUGCUUUGGGCUAAUACUUUCUCCUCCUUUGGCAUGAAUUGCCAAAAACAGAUACUUGUGAGUGAAAUAUAAGCCCUUUUACUUUCUCUCCCUUUGGCAAAUAAUAUAUGAGUGAAGAUUAUACCAAUUUGGAGAGUAGUAUGGAGCGACGGCGAAGGAUGAAUAAUUCGAUGAGUGGAGUGGAAGCCUUUGUCUUCGCCGAAGACUCCAAUUCCCUUUCAAUCUAUGACUUAGCAUGAAAUGCACUUGAAACCACAUUAGUCACAGCACAUGAGAGGGAUAUGAUCAAAGGUAUAUAAAUGAGCUAUGUGUGCAAAAUAUCAAUCAAAAUUCCUAGAAUCAAGAAUAUUUAUCUCAUGCCUAAGUUUGGUAAAUGUUUGCUCAUCUAAUGGCUUGGUAAAGAUAUCGGCUAAUUGUUCUUUGGUGUUAAUAUAAGCAAUCUCGAUAUCCCCCUUUUGUUGGUGAUCCCUCAAAAAAUGAUACCGAAUGGCUAUGUGUUUAGUGCGGCUAUGCUCAACGGGAUUAUUCGCCAUGCGGAUUGCACUCUCAUUAUCACAUAGAAGAGGAACUUUGGUUAGUUUGUAACCAUAGUCCCUAAGGGUUUGCCUCAUCCAAAGUAAUUGCGCGCAACAGUGACCUGCGGCAAUGUACUCGGCUUCGGCGGUAGAAAGAGCUACAGAAUUUUGCUUCUUUGAAGCCCAAGACACCAGAGAUCUUCCCAAGAACUGGCAAGUCCCUGAUGUGCUCUUUCUAUUAAUUUUACACCCUGCCCAAUCAGCAUCGGAAUAACCAAUUAAAUCAAAUAUGGAUCCCCUGGGGUACCAAAGGCCAAACUUAGGAGUAUAAACUAAAUAUCUCAAGAGUCGUUUUACGGCCCUAAGGUGAACUUCCUUAGGAUUGGCUUGGAAUCUUGCACACAUGCAUACGGAAAGCAUAAUAUCCGGUCGAGAUGCACAUAAGUAGAGUAAAGAACCUAUCAUCGACCGGGAUACCUUUUAAUCUACGGGUUUACCUCCCGUGUCGAGGUCGAGAUGCCCAUUAGUUCCCAUGGGUGUCUUGAUGGGCUUGGCAUCCUUCAUCCCAAACUUGGUUAGAAUGUCUUGAAUAUACUUGAGAGCACCUAGAGGGGGGGUGAAUAGGUGAUCCUGUGAAAACUUAAACUUAUAGCCACAAAAACUUGUUAAGUGUUAGCACAAUAAUUGCCAAGUGGCUAGAGAGGAGUCACAACUAAACACAAUACCACAAGAGAUCAAACACAGAGAUGACACAGUGGUUUAUCCCGUGGUUCGGCCAAGACCAACGCUUGCCUACUCCACGUUGUGGCGUCCCAACGGACGAGGGUUGCAAUCAACCCCUCUCAAGUGGUCCAAAGACCAACUUGAAUACCACGGUGUUUUGCUUUGCCUUUCAAUAUCCCGUUUGCGAGGAAUCUCCACAACUUGGAGCCUCUCGCCCUUACACUUAAGAUUCACAAAGAAAUACGGAGUAAGGGAGAACUAGCAACGCACACAAGACUCAAAAUCAGAGCAACAGCACGCACACAAGUCGCAACAAGAGCUCGCAACACAACUCAAUGAGUUCACAACUCAACAAGAGCUCUAGAUGCUAUCACAAUGAACCAAAUGCGUGGAAUCGAUGUCUUGGUGCUUAGGGAUGUUGUAGGAAUGCUUGGUGUACUCCUCCAUGCGCCUAGGGGUCCCUUUUAUAGCCCCAAGGCAGCUAGGAGCCGUUGAGAACAAAUCCAGAAGGCCAUCCUUGCCUUCUGUCGUCGGGCGCACCGGACAGUCCGGUGCACACCGGACACUGUCCGGUGCCCGAUUUCCUUCCUUAAACAGCGCAGUCGACCGUUGCAGAUCUGGGAGCCGUUGGCGCACCGGACAUGUCCGGUGCACACCGGACAGUCCGGUGCCCCCUUCCGACCGUUGGCUCGGCCACGUGUCCCGCGCAGAUCGCGCGGCCGACCGUUGGCUCGGCCGACCGUUGGCUCACCGGACAGUCCGGUGAAUUUUAGCCGUACGUCGCCAGUCAACUCCCGAGAGCGGCCAGUUCGCCCGAGGCAGCCUGGCGCACCGGACAUUGUCCGGUGCACCACCGGACACUGUCCGGUGCACCACCGGACAGUCCGGUGCCCCAGACCGAAACAGCCUUUUGGCUGUACACAGCCAACUCUCCUCUUUUCUUCUUCUUCCUGUUUCUGAUACUUAGACAAGUAUAUUAGUACACAAAACCAAUGUACUAAGACUUAGAAACAUACCUUUGCUCUAGAUUUGCACUUUGUUCAUCCAUGGGCAUAGAUUCACAUUUAAGCACUUGUGUUGACACUCAAUCACCAAAAUACUUAGAAAUGGCCCAAGGGCACAUUUCCCUUUCAAUCUCCCCCUUUUUGGUGAUUUAUGCCAACACAACAUAAAGCAACUAGAACAAGUGCAAUAUCACUUCAAAUAAAAACUCAAAUUUAUUUUGAUUCAAUUUGGCAUAUAUGGAUCAUCCUUUGCCACAACUUGGUUUGUUUUUGCAAAUCAACCACAAAAUCCUAUCUCUAAGUCAAAUCCACUUGUAGAGACAUAAAGAGAGGUUUUCCAAAGAAAAUUGAUUCAAGAUUCCAAAAACUCCCCCUUUUUCCCAUAAUCAACACUUCUCCCCACAAGAGGCCAACUUUUGACAAAAGAGACAAUGCAAGAGUUUUGACAAACCAAAAGCUCUAUCCUACUAUUUUCAAAGUUUCUCAAGUGGUAGCUGAUCCAUUUAUUGCUUUGGCCUUUAUUUUCUCCCCCUUUGGCAUCAAGCACCAAAACAGGAUCAAUCUUGGCCCUUUAACCCCAUUGCCUCACCAAAAUCUUCAAUUAAGAGCAAAUAGGCAAUAAGAGUUUAAAGAUGAACUUGGAAUAAGUUACCCUCUCAUCGAAGUGCAGUGGAAGUCUUUCAUGGUCCAAGUCCACCUUUUCCCUUUCAAUCCUCCUUCGAGACUAAAUCAUCAACUCAAGCACAUGGUUAGUCUCAAAGGGUCAAGUUGUAACACAUCUUCCCCUAAACAUGUGCAUCACUUUGCAACGGACUUGUGAGGUCCAGGGAGUGUUUGUACAACUUGAGCACCAUAAUAAGCAACAAAAUGCAGAAAGGAACAUGAUCAAAAGCAUAAAUACAAGUAUGCUACAAUUCAAUCCAAGUUCCGCGAAUCUAAGACAUUUAGCUCACUACGCAACCUGCAAAAGGUCUUCUCAUCUAGAGGCUUGGUAAAGAUAUCGGCUAGCUGGUUCUCGGUGCUAACAUGAAACACUUCGAUAUCUCCCUUUUGCUGGUGGUCUCUCAAGAAGUGAUGCCGGAUGUCUAUGUGCUUUGUGCGGCUGUGCUCAACAGGAUUCUCCGCCAUGCGGAUAGCACUCUCAUUAUCACAUAGGAGUGGGACUUUGCUCAGAUUGUAGCCAAAGUCCGGGAGGGUUUGCCUCAUCCAAAGCAGUUGCGCGCAACACUGUCCUGUGGCAACGUACUCGGCCUCAGCGGUGGAUAGGGCAACGGAGGUUUGUUUCUUAGAGUUCCACGACACCAGGGACCUUCCUAAGAAUUGGCACGUCCCUGAUGUACUCUUCCUAUCAACCUUACAUUCAGCAUAGUCGGAAUCUGAGUAUCCAACCAAGUCAAAGGUAGACCCCUUUGGAUACCAGAGCCCGAAGCAAGGCGUAGCAACCAAAUAUCUAAGAAUUCGCUUCACCGCCACUAAGUGACACUCCUUAGGAUCGGAUUGAAAUCUAGCACACAUGCAUACGCUAAGCAUAAUAUCCGGUCUACUAGCACAUAAAUAAAGUAAAGACCCUAUCAUUGACCGGUAUGCUUUUUGAUCAACGGACUUACCUCCUUUGUUGAGGUCGGUGUGUCCGUCGGUCCCCAUCGGAGUCUUUGCGGGCUUGGCGUCCUUCAUCCCAAACCGCUUUAGCAGAUCUUGCGUGUACUUCGUUUGUGAGAUGAAGGUGCCUUCCUUGAGUUGCUUCACUUGGAACCCAAGGAAGUAGUUCAACUCGCCCAUCAUCGACAUCUCGAAUUUCUGCGUCAUCACCCUGCUAAACUCUUCACAAGACUUUUGGUUAGUAGAACCAAAUAUUAUGUCAUCGACAUAAAUUUGGCACACAAACAAAUCACCAUCACAUGUCUUAGUGAACAGAGUUGGAUCGGCUUUCCCAACCUUGAAAGCAUUAGCAAGUAGAAAGUCUCUAAGGCAUUCAUACCAUGCUCUUGGGGCUUGCUUAAGUCCAUAGAGCGCCUUAGAGAGCUUACACACAUGGUCGGGGUACCGUUCAUCCUCGAAGCCAGGGGGUUGCUCCACGUACACCUCCUCCUUGAUUGGCCCGUUGAGGAAAGCGCUCUUCACAUCCAUUUGGAACAACCUGAAAGAAUGGUGAGCGGCAUAUGCUAGCAAGAUACGAAUUGAUUCUAGCCUAGCCACAGGAGCAAAUGUCUCCUCAAAGUCCAAACCUGCGACUUGGGCAUAACCUUUUGCCACAAGUCGAGCCUUGUUUCUCGUCACCACCCCGUGCUCGUCCUGUUUGUUGUGGAACACCCACUUGGUUCCCACAACAUUUUGCUUGGGACGAGGCACCAGUGUCCAAACUUCAUUGCGCUUGAAGUUGUUGAGUUCAUCCUGCAUGGCCAAUAUCCAAUCCGGAUCUAGCAAGGCCUCCUCUACCCUGAAAGGCUCAAUAGAAGAGACAAAGGAGUAAUGCUCACAAAAAUUAACUAAUCGAGAUCGAGUAGUUACUCCCUUGCUAAUGUCACCCAAAAUUUGGUCGACGGGAUGAUCCCUUUGAAUCACCGCUCGAACUUGGGUUGGAGGUGCCGGUUGCGUUUCUUCCUCCAUUUCUUGAUCAUCUUGUGCUCCCCCUUGAUCACACGCCUCCUUUUGAUGAACCUGUUCAUCGUCUUGAGUUGGGGGAUGCACCGUUGUUGAGGAAGAAGGUUGAUCACGUUCAUCUUGUUCCUGUGGCCGCACUUCUCCAAUCGCCACGGUUCGUAUAGCGGCCGUUGGAACAUCUUCUUCAUCUACAUCAUCACAAUCAACAACUUGCUCUCUUGGAGAGCCAUUAGUCUCAUCAAAUACAACGUCACUAGAGACUUCAACCAAACCCGAUGAUUUGUUGAAGACUCUAUACGCCUUUGUAUUUGAGUCAUAACCUAACAAAAACCCUUCUACAGCUUUUGGAGCAAAUUUAGAAUUUCUACCUUUCUUUACUAGAAUGUAGCAUUUGCUUCCAAAAACACGAAAGUAGGAUACAUUGGGUUUGUUACCGGUUAGUAGCUCAUACGAAGUCUUCUUGAGGAGGCGAUGUAGGUAGACCCUGUUGAUGGCGUGGCAAGCCGUGUUCACGGCUUCCGACCAGAAACACUCGGGGGUCUUGAAUUCUCCAAGCAUCGUCCUUGCCAUAUCGAUUAGUGUCCUGUUCUUCCUCUCUACCACACCAUUUUGCUGUGGUGUGUAGGGAGUGGAGAACUCGUGCUUGAUCCCUUCCUCCUCAAGGAACUCCUCCACUUGAAGGUUCUUGAACUCGGACCCAUUGUCGCUCCUUAUCUUCUUCACCUUGAGCUCAAACUCAUUUUGAGCUCUCCUGAGGAAGCGCUUGAGGGUCCCUUGGGUUUCAGACUUAUCCUGCAAAAAGAACACCCAAGUGAAGCAGGAAAAGUCAUCAACAAUAACUAGCCCAUACUUACUUCCCCCUAUGCUCAGAUAGGCGACGGGUCCGAAGAGGUCCAUAUGCAGCAGCUCCAGGGGUCUUGAAGUGGUCAUCACAUUCUUGCUGUGAUGCGCUCCUCCCACCUGUUUACCUGCUUGACAAGCUGCACAAGGUCUAUCUUUUUCGAAAUGUACGUUAGUCAAACCUAUCACGUGUUCUCCCUUUAGAAGCUUGUGAAGGUUCUGCAUCCCCACAUGUGCUAAGCGGCGAUGCCACAGCCAGCCCAUGCUAGUCUUAGCAAUUAAGCAUGCAUCUAGACCGGCCUCUUCUUUUGCAAAAUCAACUAAGUAGAGCUUGCCGUCUAAUACACCCUUAAAAGCUAGUGAAUCAUCACUUCUUCUAAAGACAGACACAUCUACAUUUGUAAAUAGACAGUUAUAUCCCAUAUGACAUAAUUGACUAACAGAUAGCAAAUUAUAUCCAAGACUCUCCACUAAAAACACAUUAGAGAUAGAAUGCUCAUUGGAGAUUGCAAUUUUACCUAGCCCUUUUACCUUGCCUUGAUUCCCAUCACCGAAUAUAAUUGAAUCUUGGGAAUCCUUAUUCUUGACAUAGGAGGUGAACAUCUUCUUCUCCCCCGUCAUAUGGUUUGUGCAUCCGCUGUCGAUAAUCCAGCUUGAACCCCCGGAUGCAUAAACCUGCAAGGCAAAUUUAGGCUUGGGACUUAGGUACCCAACUCUUGUUGGGUCCUACAAGGUUAGUCACAAUUGUCUUAGGGACCCAAAUGCAAGUUUUAUCACCCUUGCAUUUUGCCCCUAACUUCCUAGCAAUCACCUUUCUAUCCUUUCUACAAAUUGCAAAGGAAGCAUUCAAAGCAUGAUAUAUUGUAGAAGGCUCAUUAACUUUCCUAGGAAUAUUAACAACAUUUCUCCUAGGCAUAUUAUGAACAACAUUCCUUCUACCAAUAUUUUUAUCAUGUACAUAUGAAGAACUAGAAGCAAACAUAGCAUGAGAAAAAUCAUUGUAAGCAUUAUAACUCCUAUAAUCAUUUCUAGUUUGUCUCCUAUCAUGAUACAAAAAGGCAUGAUUCUUUUUAGCACUAGUAGCCAUAGGGGCCUUCCCUUUCUCCUUGGCGGAGAUGGGAGCCUUAUGGCUUGUCAAGUUCUUGGCUUCCCUUUUGUAGCCAAGUCCAUCCUUAAUUGAGGGAUGUCUACCAAUCGUAUAGGCAUCCCUUGCAAAUUUUAAUUUAUCAAAUUCGCUUUUGCUAGUCUUAAGUUGGGCAUUAAGACUAGCCACUUCAUCAUUCAAAUUAGAAAUUGAGACUAGGUGUUCACUGCAAGCAUCAAUGUCAAAAUCUUUACACCUAGUACAAAUUACAACAUGUUCUACACAAGAAUUAGAUUUAUUUGCUACUUUUAGUUUAGCAUUUAAAUCAUUGUUGACACCUUCUAAAGUAGAAAUGGUUUUAUGACAAGUAGAUAAUUCACCAGAGAGUAUUUCAUUCCUUUUAAUUUCUAGGGCAAGAGAAUUUUGUGCACUAACAAAUUUAUCAUGCUCCUCAUAUAAAAGAUCUUCUUGUUUUUCUAGUAAUUUAUUCUUGUCAUUCAAAGCAUCAAUCAACUCAUUAAUCUUAUCUAUCUUAGAUCUAUCUAAGCCUUUGAAUAAGCAUGAAUAGUCUAUGUCAUCAUCAUCACUAGACUCAUUAUCACUAGAAGAAGCAUAAGUGGAGUCUCGAGUACUCACCUUCUUCUCCCUUGCCAUAAGGCAUGUGUGACGCUCGUUGGGGAAGAGAGAUGACUUGUUGAAGGCGGUGGCGGCGAGUCCUUCAUUGUCGGAGUUGGAGGAGGAGCAAUCCGAAUCCCACUCCUUUCCUAUAUGUGCCUCGCCCUUGGCCUUCUUGUAAUGCUUCUUCUUCUCCCUUUUGUUCCCCUUUUCCUGGUCACUUUCAUUAUCGGGACAGUUAGCAAUGAAAUGACCAAUCUUACCACAUUUGAAGCACGAGCGCUUCUCCUUUGUCUUGGUCUUGCUUGGCUGUCCCUUGCGACCUUUAAGCGCCGUCUUGAAGCGCUUAAUGAUGAGGGCCAUCUCCUCAUUAUUGAGCCCGGCCGCCUCAACUUGCGCCACCUUGCUUGGUAGCGCCUCCUUGCUCCUCGUUGCCUUGAGAGCAAGGGGUUGCGGCUCGUUGAUCGGACCAUUCAAGGCGUCGUCCACGUAUCUUGCCUCCUUGAUCAUCAUUCGCCCGCUAACGAAUUUCCCAAGUACUUCUUCGGGUGACAUCUUGGUGUACCUAGGAUUUUCACGAAUAUUGUUCACCAAAUGAGGAUCAAGAACAGUAAAGGACCUUAGCAUUAGGCGGACGACGUCGUGAUCCGUCCAUCGCGUGCUUCCGUAGCUCCUUAUUUUGUUGAUAAGGGUCUUGAGCCGGUUGUAUGUUUGAGUUGGCUCCUCGCCCCUUAACAUUGCGAACCGUCCAAGCUCGCCCUCCACCAACUCCAUCUUGGUGAGUAAGGUGACAUCGUUCCCCUCAUGAGAGAUCUUGAGGGUGUCCCAGAUCUGCUUGGCAUUGUCCAAGCCGCUCACCUUAUGGUACUCGUCCCUGCACAAAGAGGCUAGCAACACAGUAGUAGCUUGUGCAUUUUUAUGAAUCUGUUCAUUAAUAAACAUGGGACUAUCCAUAAUAUCAAAGUGCAUUCCACUUUCUACAAUCUCCCAUAUGCUAGGAUGGAGAGAGAACAAGUGACUACGCAUUUUGUGACUCUAAAAUCCGUAGUCCUCUCCAUCAAAAUGAGGAGGUUUACCAAGUGGAAUAGAUAAUAAAUGAGCAUUAGUACUUUGAGGAAUACGAGAGUAAUCAAAAGAAAAGUUCGAAUUAACCGGUUUCUUUCUCUCGUAUUCGUUGUGGUCGUCGUCCUUUUGGGAGGAAGUAGACUCAUCGCUGUCGUAGUAGACGAUCUCCUUGAUGCGUCUUGUCUUCUUCUUCUUCCCAUCUUUGCGUCUGUGGCCCGAGCCCGAGUCGUUGGACUUGUCAUCCCUUGGCUCGUUGACGAAGGACUCCUUCUCCUUGUCGUUGAUCACGAUUCCCUUCCCUUUAGGAUCCAUCUCUUCGGGCGAUUAGUCCCUUUGUGAAGAGAACGGCUCUGAUACCAAUUGAGAGCACCUAGAGGGGGGGUGAAUAGGUGAUCCUGUGAAAACUUAAACUUAUAGCCACAAAAACUUGUUAAGUGUUAGCACAAUAAUUGCCAAGUGGCUAGAGAGGAGUCACAACUAAACACAAUACCACAAGAGAUCAAACACAGAGAUGACACAGUGGUUUAUCCCGUGGUUCGGCCAAGACCAACGCUUGCCUACUCCACGUUGUGGCGUCCCAACGGACGAGGGUUGCAAUCAACCCCUCUCAAGUGGUCCAAAGACCAACUUGAAUACCACGGUGUUUUGCUUUGCCUUUCAAUAUCCCGUUUGCGAGGAAUCUCCACAACUUGGAGCCUCUCGCCCUUACACUUAAGAUUCACAAAGAAAUACGGAGUAAGGGAGAACUAGCAACGCACACAAGACUCAAAAUCAGAGCAACAGCACGCACACAAGUCGCAACAAGAGCUCGCAACACAACUCAAUGAGUUCACAACUCAACAAGAGCUCUAGAUGCUAUCACAAUGAACCAAAUGCGUGGAAUCGAUGUCUUGGUGCUUAGGGAUGUUGUAGGAAUGCUUGGUGUACUCCUCCAUGCGCCUAGGGGUCCCUUUUAUAUCCCCAAGGCAGCUAGGAGCCGUUGAGAACAAAUCCAGAAGGCCAUCCUUGCCUUCUUUCGUCGGGCGCACCGGACAGUCCAGUGCACACCGGACACUGUCCGGUGCCCGAUUUCCUUCCUUAAACAGCGCAGUCGACCGUUGCAGAUCUGGGAGCCGUUGGCGCACCGGACAUGUCCGGUGCACACCGGACAGUCCGGUGCCCCCUUCCGACCGUUGGCUCGGCCGACCGUUGGCUCACCGGACAGUCCGGUGCACACCGGACAGUCCGGUGAAUUUUAGCCGUACGUCGCCAGUCAACUCCCGAGAGCGGCCAGUUCGCCCGAGGCAGCCUGGCGCACCGGACACUGUCCGGUGCACCACCGGACAGUCCGGUGCCCCAGACCGAAACAGCCUUUUGGCUGUACACAGCCAACUCUCCUCUUUUCUUCUUCUUCCUGUUUCUGAUACUUAGACAAGUAUAUUAGUACACAAAACCAAUGUACUAAGACUUAGAAACAUACCUUUGCUCUAGAUUUGCACUUUGUUCAUCCAUGGGCAUAGAUUCACAUUUAAGCACUUGUGUUGACACUCAAUCACCAAAAUACUUAGAAAUGGCCCAAGGGCACAUUUCCCUUUCAAUACUUCGUUUGGCUAAUGAAGGUGCCCUCUUGGAGUUGCUUCACUUGAAAUCCUAAGAAAUACUUCAACUCCCCCAUCAUAGACAUCUCGAAUUUUUGAGUCAUGAUCCUACUAAACUCUUCACAUGAAGAUUCGUUAGUAGACCCAAAUAUGGUAUCAUCAACAUAAAUUUGGCAUACAAACAAAUCAUUUGCAAGUGUUUUAGUAAAGCGAGUAGGAUCAGCUUUUCCGACUUUGAAGCCAUUAGUGAUAAGAAAAUCUCUUAGGCAUUCAUACCAUGCUCUUGGGGCUUGCUUGAGCCCAUAAAGCGCCUUAGAGAGUUUAUAAACAUGGUUAGGGUACUCACUAUCUUCAAAGCCAGGAGGUUGCUCAACAUAGACCUCUUCCUUGAUUGGCCCAUUGAGGAAGGCACUUUUCACGUCCAUUUGGUAAAGCUUAAAGCCAUGGUAAGUAGCAUAGGCAAGUAAUAUACGAAUUGACUCAAGCCUAGCUACGGGUGCAUAGGUUUCACCGAAAUCCAAACCUUCGACUUGUGAAUAUCCCUUGGCCACAAGUCGGGCUUUGUUUCUUGUCACCACACCAUGCUCAUCUUGCUUGUUGCGGAAGACCCACUUGGUUCCUACAACAUUUUGGUUAGGACAUGGAACUAAAUGUCAUACGUCAUUCCUCGUGAAGUUGUUGAGCUCCUCUUGCAUUGCCAACACCCAAUCUAAAUCCCUUAAUUCAUCUUCUACCCUGUAUGGCUCAAUAACAGACACAAAAGAGUAAUGUUCACAAAAAUGAGCAACACAAGAUCGAGUGGUUACCCCCUUUUGAAUAUUGUCGAGAAUGGUGUUCACGGGGUGAUCUUGUUGGAUUGCUUGGUGGACUCUUGAGUGUGGCAGUUUUGGACCCUCAUCAUCUUCCUUGUCUUGAUCAUUGACAUCUCCCCCUUGAUCAUUGCCCUCCUCUUGAGGUGGCUCAUCUUCUUGAUCCUCAUCUUCAUCAUCUUGAGCUUGAUCCUCAUCUUGGGUUGGUCGAGAUGCUUGCAUGGAGGAAGAUGGUUGAUCUUGUGCAUGUGGAGGCUCUUUGGAUUCCUUAGGACACACAUCCCCAAUGGACAUGUUCCUUAGCGCGACGCACGGAGCCUCUUCAUCAUCUAGCUCAUCAAGAUCAACUUGCUCUACUUGAGAGCCGUUAGUCUCAAACACAAUGUCACAAGAAACUUCAACAAGUCCAGUGGACUUGUUAAAGACUCUAUAUGCCCUUGUGUUUGAAUCAUAACCAAGUAAAAAGUCUUCUACAGCCUUAGGAGCAAAUUUAGAUUUUCUACCUCUUUUAACAAGAAUAAAGCAUUUUCUACCAAAGACUCUAAAAUAUGAAACAUUGGGCUUUUUACCGGUUAGGAGUUCAUAAGAUGUCUUCUUGAGGAUUCGGUGAAGAUAUAACCGGUUGAUGGCGUAGCAAGCGGUGUUGACCGCCUCGGCCCAAAACCGAUCCGAAGUCUUGUACUCAUCAAGCAUGGUCCUUGCCAUGUCCAAUAGAGUUCUAUUCUUCCUCUCCACUACACCAUUUUGUUGUGGCGUGUAGGGAGAAGAGAACUCAUGCUUGAUGCCCUCCUCCUCAAGAAAGCCUUCUAUUUGAGAGUUCUUGAACUCCGUUCUGUUGUCACUUCUAAUCUUUUUUAUCCUUAAGCCGAACUCAUUUUGAGCCCGUCUCAAUAAUCCCUUUAAGGUCUCUUGGGUUUGAGAUUUAUCCUGCAAAAAGAAUACCCAAGUGAAGCGAGAAUAAUCAUCCACAAUUACAAGACAAUACUUACUACCGUCGAUGCUUAUGUAAGCGAUCGUGCUGAAUAGGUCCAUGUGGAGUAGCUCAAGAGGCCUGUCGGUCGUCAUGAUGUUCUUGUGUGGAUGAUGAACACCAACUUGCUUUCCUGCUUGACAUGCGCUACAAACCCUGUCUUUCUCAAAAUGAACAUUGGUUAGUCCCAAAAUGUGCUCUCCCUUUAGAAGCUUAUGAAGAUUCUUCAUCCCAACAUGGGCUAGUCGGCGGUGCCAGAGCCAACCCAUGUUAGUCUUAGCAAUUAAGCAAGUGUCGAGUUCAGCUUUAUCAAAAUCUACUAAGUAUAGCUGACCCUCUAACACUCCCUUAAAUGCUACUGAAUCAUCACUUCUUCUAAAGACAGUAACACCUAUAUCCGUAAAAAGACAGUUGUAGCCCAUUUUGCAUAAUUGAGAAACAGAAAGCAAAUUGUAAUCUAAAGAAUCUACAAGAAAAACAUUGGAAAUAGAGUGGUCAGGAGAUAUAGCAAUUUUACCCAAUCCUUUGACCAAACCUUGAUUUCCAUCCCCGAAUGUGAUAGCUCUUUGGGGAUCAUGGUUUUUCUUGUAGGAGGAGAACAUCUUAUUCUCCCCUGUCAUGUGGUUUGUGCACCCGCUAUCGAUGAUCCAACUUGAGCCCCCGGAUGCAUAAACCUACAAAACAAAUUUAGGCCUUGUUCUUAGGUACCCAAACGGUCUUGGGUCCUUUCACAUUAGAAACAAGCACCUUGGGUACCCAAACACAAGUCUUUGACCCCUUGUGUUUGCCCCCAAUAUAUUUGGCAACUACUUUGCCUGAUUUGUUAGUAAGCACAUAAGAAGCAUCAAAAGUCUUAAAUGAAAUGUUAUGAUCAUUUGAUGCAAUAGGAGUUUUCUUCUUAGGCAAUUUAGCAUGAGUGGAUUGCCUAGAACUAGAUGUCUCACUCUUAUACAAAAAAGCAUGAUUAGGGCCAGAGUGAGACUUCCUAGAGUGAAUUCUCCUAAUUUUGUGUUCGGGAUAACCAGCAGGGUAUAAAAUGUAACCCUCGUUAUCCUGAUCCAUGGGAGCUUUGCCCUUAACAAACUUAGAUAAUCUUUUAGGAGGGGCAUUAAGUUUGACAUUGUCUCCCUUUUGGAAGCCAAUGCCAUCCUUGAUGCCAGGGCGUCUCCCAUUAUAAAGCAUACUACGAGCAAAUUUAAAUUUUUCAUUUUCUAACUCAUGCUCGGCAAUUUUAGCAUCUAAUUUUGCUAUAUGAUCAUUUUGUUGUUUAAUCAUAGCAAUGUGAUCAUGGAUAGCAUCAAUAUUAAUAUCUCUACAUCUAGUACAAAUAGUAACAUGCUCAACGGUAGAUGUAGAGGGUUUGCAAACAUUUAAUUCAUCAAUCUUAGCAUGUAACAUAGCAUUCUCAUUUCUAAGAUUGGAAAUUGAAAUAUUGCAAACAUCUAAUUCCUUAGCCUUAGCAAUUAAUUUAUCAUUCUCAUUUCUAAGGUUAGCAAGAGGGGCAUUCAAUUUUUCAAUCUUAGCAAUUGAACUAGCAUUAUCAUUUCUAAGAUUGGCAAUUGAAUCAUCACAAAUAUUUGACUUCUCAACCUUAGCAAUCAAAUUAGCAUUCUCAAUUCUAAGGUUGGAAAUAGUGUCAUGGCAAGUGCUUAGCUCACUAGUUAAUUUUUCACAUUUUUCUAUCUCUAGAGCAUAAGCAUUUUUAACUUUAACAUGCUUUUUGUUUUCUUUAAUUAGGAAGUCCUCUUGGCUAUCCAAGAGUUCAUCCUUUUCAUGAAUAGCACUUAUCAAUUCAUUUAAUUUUUCUUUUUGUUGCAUGUUUAAGUUGGCAAAAAGGGUGAGCAAAUCAUCCUCAUCAUCACUAGAGCUAGCCUUAUCACUAGAAGUUGCAUAUUUAGUGGAAGCUCUAGAUUUUACCUUCUUCUUUUUGUCGUCCUUUGCCAUGAGGCAUUUGUGGCCGACGUUGGGGAAGAGAAGUCCCUUGUUGAUGGCGAUGUUGGCGGCGUCCUCGUCGGAGGAGGAGUCGGUGGAGCUUUCAUCAGAGUGCCAUUCGCGGCAUACAUGGGCAUCGUCGCCCUUCUUCUUGUAGUACCUCUUGUUUUCUCUUCUCUUUCCCUUCUGGUCGUCGCCCCUAUCACUAUCACUUGAUAAUGGACAUUUAGCAAUAAAAUGACCGGGCUUACCACACUUGUAGCAAACUUUCUUAGAGCGGGGUUUGUAGUCCUUCCCCCUCUUUUGCUUGAGGAUUUGGCGGAAGAUCUUGAUGAUGAGCGCCAUCUCCUCAUUGUCGAGCUUGGAGGCGUCGAUGGGGACCCUACUUGGUGUAGAGUCUUCUUUCCUCCUCCUCCGUUGCCUUAAAUGCAAUGGGUUGUGCCUCGGGUACGGAGGAGGAGGCGCCUUGCUCGAUGAUGUUUUUGGAGCCUUUGAUCAUCAAUUCAAAGCUCAUAAAUUUUCCUAUUACUUCCUCGGGAGACAUUAGUUUAUAUCUUGGAUCACCAUGAAUUAAUUGAACUUGAGUAGGGUUAAGAAAUACGAGUGAUCUAAGAAUAACCUUGACCAUCUCAUGGUCAUCCCAUUUGGUGCUCCCGAGGUUGCGCACUUGGUUCACCAAGGUCUUGAGCCGGUUGUACAUAGCUUGUGGCUCCUCCCCUUGGUGAAGCAUGAACUGACCGAGCUCCCCCUCGAUCGUUUCUCUCUUGGUGAUCUUGGUCACCUCGUCUCCUUCGUGCGCGGUCUUGAGUACGUCCCAAAUCUCUUUGGCGCUUUUCAACCCUUGUACCUUGUUAUACUCCUCUCGACUUAGAGAGGCGAGGAGUAUAGUGGUGGCUUGGGAGUUGAAGUGCCGGAUUUGGGCUACCUCGUCCGAGUCAUAACCUUCAUCCCCCAUGGAUGGUUCAUGUGCACCAAACUCAACAAUGUCCCAAAUACUAGCGUGGAGUGAGGUUAGAUGGUGCCUCAUUUUAUCACUCCACAUACAAUAAUCUUCACCGUCAAAAACCGGUGGUUUGCCUAGUGGGACGGAAAGUAAAGGGGUGUGUUUGGAAAUACGAGGAUAGAGUAAGGGGAUCUUACUAAACUUCUUGCGCUCAUGGCGCUUAGAAGUGACGGACGGCGUGUCGGAGCCGGAGGUGGAUGGCGAUGAAGAGUCGGUCUCGUAGUAGACCACUUUCUUCAUCUUCUUUUUCUUCUCGCCGCUCCGACGCGACUUGUCGUGUGAAGGGGAUCCCUUCACCUUGUUGCUGGAUUCUCCGGAUGGAGCCUUCCCAUGGCUUGUGGCGGGCUUCUCACCGGUCAUCAUCUCCUUCUUGGCGUGAUCUCCCGACAUCACUUCGAACGGUUAGGCUCUAAUGAAGUACUGGGCUCCGAUACCAAUUGAAAGUCGCCUAGAAGGGAGGGGUGAAUAGGGCGAAUCUGAAAUUUACAAACUUUAAGCACAACUACAAGCCGGGUUAGCGUUAGAAUUAAUGCGAGUCCAAAAGAGAGGGCGAAAACAAAUCACAAGCGAAUAAGAACGGAUGACACGGUGAUUUGUUUUACUGAGGUUCGGUUCUUGCAAACCUACUCCCCGUUGAUGUGGUCACAAAGACCGGGUCUCUUUCAGCCCUUUCCCUCUCUCAAACGGUCACUUAGACCGAGUGAGAUUCUCUUCUCAAUCAAACGGGACACUAAGUCCCCACAAGGACCACCACAUAAUUGGUGUCUCUUGCCUUGGUUACAAUUGAGUUAGAAUCAAGAAAGAAGGAAGAAGAAAAGCAAUCCAAGCGCAAGAGCUCAAAUGAACACAAGUAUCUCUCUCUCACUAGUCACUAUUUGAUUGGAAUUGUCUUUGGACCUGGGAGAGGAUUUAAUCUCUUGUUUGUGUCUUGUAUUGAAUGCUAUAGCUCUUGUAUGAGGUGUGAAGGCUGAAAACUUGGAUGCAAUGAAUGGUGGGUGGUUGGGGGUAUUUAUAGCCCCAACCACCAAAUGAGCCGUUGGUGGAGGCUGUUGUCGCAUGGCGCACCGGAUAGUUCGGUGGCAGUCCGGUGUGCCACCAGACACUGUCCGGUGCGCCAGCCACGUCACCCAGUCGUUGGAUUCUGACCGUUGGAGCUUCUGACAUCUGAGCCACCAGACAGUUCGGUGGUGCACCGGACAGUCACUGUUCACUGACCGGUGCGCCUUCUGGCUCUGCUCUGACUUCUGCGCGCACUGUAGCGCAUUUAUUGUUCGUUGCAGACGACCAUUGGCGCUACGUAGCCGUUACUCCACUGGCACACUGGACAGUCCGGUGCUACACCGGACAGUCCGGUGAAUUAUAGCGGAGUGGCUCCCAGAAUUCCCGAAGGUGGCAAGUUCAGACUAGAAUUCCCUGGUGCACCAGACACUGUCCGGUGGUGCACCAGACAGUCCGGUGCGCCAGACCAGGGCACACUUUUGUUGCCUUUUGCUCUCUUUGUUUGAACCCUUUCUUGGUCUUUUUAUUGGUUUGCUGUGAACCUUUGGCACCUGUAAAACUUAUAAUUUAGAGUAAACUAGUUAGUCCAAUUAUUUGUGUUGGGCAAUUCAACCACCAAAAUCAAUUAGGAAAAGGUGUAAGCCUAUUUCCCUUUCAGACAGAUAUCCCCUGAGUCCACUAGAAGGCUAGAAAACAUCGCGAAAGGCUUUGGGUCCAUUACUUCGCAAGGCCAUCCCUUCGUGGGCCAGGGGAGGAACCGCCGACGGAAUGGACUGACGCGGGAUUGGAUAGACUCAAGCCCAUACGAUUCAACGAGUUUAAGCAUUAUCCACAACAUUGAUCUAAUUCUCCCGCACAGCACCCUCAGACGUUGGAACUAAAUAAGGAUAAGUCGGUAGGAUUAUAGGAAGAUAAGUUCAGUCGGUUCACUAUUAUUUAGGUGCACAUGUUAUCAUACCCGCAUGUAUCGCCCCACGGUCGAGUAUAUAAGGCCUAGGGGGCACCCCAUCAAAAGACAGGUAAUUCAUCAGACAUCUACUCCAUUCUCUAGCACUCUCCAAACUAGAGAGUUCCCCUGUAACCCACCACAUAAAGAUCCACACCAGGAAGUAGGGUGUUACGCCUCUCUAACCAGCCCGAACCUGUAGAAAAUUGUCUAUCGUCUCUCGUGCACCUAGCACGAACCAUCGAGCUACAGUCAGCAACACCGUCCUACCCAAAAGCACCUCGAGGGGUAACCCCGGGUGCGCGGUCGGGUCCUAAACAUCGACAGCUGGCGUGCCAGGUAGGGGGUGUGUUGUUGAUCCAAGCUAGCUUAAUGGCCAUCAUUUUCCAGCACAAGAUCGCUCUCCGACCUGGAUUCGUGUUCUGCUUCGGAACCAUCUCAUCCGUAGCAGAUGAAGAAGGAAUUCUGCAUCGUAUAGCGGAUCAACCGGAGAAGAAGCCUUCCUCGAAAAUCUCCGAAAAAGCCAGAACGAAGCAGGAAAUAGCGCAACCUCCAGUGCUCCGGGCAAAGACUACCUCCUGCAAGCCAGGAAUAGAGAAUUCGCCUAAUCGAAGAACCCCGUUGUCCACCUCAUCCACGAAAAAAUGGACACGGAUUGCAAGGAGAAAAGAAGCAAAUAAAAUAAAGACUCGUCGAGCUGCUCUUCUGGCACCUUCGCCCUCAAAGGAGAACAGAGAGAAGCUUGUCGUCAUGACAACUCCAUUCUACCCUGAUGUCCUCUUCAUCGGGGGAAGAGUGGAAUCGUCCCCCAUCUCCGACGACGAGCCAACCGUGCCUGGGGAAUAACCUCCUCAGCGAGAAGCUCGCCGACGAAGGAACCGACGCCGGAAUGCUCGGCGACAUCAUGAAGCCGGAGAACGAGACCCAGCGCAGGCGCGUAGCCUGUAUCACGAGAUGAGAUCUCGGAGAUGGGAGAAACUCCUGAUGAACGCGUCUUCAGGGAAAGGAGGAAUUCCCACUGACGUGAUCGUCGGCAGGCUCAAGAGCAAGCCGAGCAGGAGGCGAGACAACGCCGAGAGAACCCUCUCUUCGGACGAAACUUGAACCCCGACUUCGCCCGAGCCAUGAACACACCGAGCGAGGUCGGUGGAGUGUUGGCCCGGAUAGCUGAUGGCCUCCCCCGGACUUCAGACGCUGAGGGCUAUCGGCGGCUGCUCACUCGGACAACUAAUCAUCUUCUGCCUCUCGCUCAUCCUCCGAGCGAUCUACGGCACGCCAUCAAUAGUCGGCGGGACACGCGGAGCUCCAUCAAUGCUUCGCGCGAACAACGACAUGAGAACGAGAUCCGGUGCCGAGAAGAGUAUGAUCGGGAUCAUGGCAUCCCUGCACGAAGUCAGGCCACUAGGGUUGAGUCGGCAACGACUUCAACUGGCGGCACAACCCGGGGACAGUCGAGGCAACACAUCGGCAACUCCCCUCCCCGGGAUCGACACCACAAUCGUUGACAGGAGGACAUGUGUUGAGUAUCUGCGCUCACUCUGUGUCUCAGGGCCAUUCAGUGGCCCCCAAACUUCAAAGUCUCCAACAUCGACAAGUACGAGCCUAAGCAAGACUCGGGAGGCUGGUUGGCUGUCUAUACCACCGCUACUCGGGCCGCUGGGGCAACUGAAGAUGUGAUGACUGCGUACUUGCCCAUCAUCCUUGGGCAAGAUGCGCUGCAAUGGCUACGACACCUACCGCGACACUGCAUCGACGAUUGGAGCGACUUCAGUCGGCGUUUUAUCACCAACUUCCAAUCCCUCUCCGACAAGCCGACGCAGCCAUGGGACCUAAAAUCCAUCAGGUGCCGAGGGGAUGAGACUCUUUGGUUGUACCUUAAAAGGUUUCAGACCAUGAGAAAUCGUAUUCCCGAGGUUGCUGAAGUAGCAGUGAUCGAGGACUUCUACCGAGGAUCUAAUGACUCGGCCUUCGUCCGAGCCAUACUACAAAAGGCGCCGACCACUUCCGAACAGCUGUUCAGGGAGGCGGACCUCUACAUCACCGCCGAUGAGAGUGCCCAGGACCACAUCGGGGGAACGAAGCUCGCUCCAUCUGCACCACGGCGCGACGUGAACUAGCAAACCGACAAGCGCUGGAAGAAGAGGCCUCGUGAAGAAGUCCAUGUCGCUUGACCACCCGUCUCUCAUGCCCGAUGGGCACCCCAUGGAGGCGAAUGAACAUUGGACGACAUCCUCGACACCCAGUGCUCGUACCACAAGGAUAUGCGUCAUACCCUCCGGAACUGCAGAGACUUCAAGCACUCCGUCGGGAAUGGUCGACCCUUCCAACCUCUACAACCUCCCCCACCACGAGGAGGACCCGGAGAACCUCGACAACCUCAGCAGCAGGAAGGGGGAGGAGGCGGAGCGUUCCCGCGCGUCGAUGGAGAAGUCAACGUCAUCUUUGGCGGACACGGGUCACAAGAGAACAAAAGGCAGCGGAAGCUCAACGAUCGACAGAUACUGGUGGCGGCCACCAGUGCUCCCGCCCCAUAUCGAUGGUCAGAACACCCGAUCACCUUUACUCGGGCAGAUCAAUGGCUCAACUUCGAUCAUCCAGGCAAGUACCCGCUCCUCGUCGAUCCGGUGAUCCGAGAGAGCAGGGUAAAGAAGGUGUUGGUGGACGGGGGAAGCAGCAUCAACGUUACCUUCCCCCGGACACUCUUAGGCUUGGGAGUCGCACUCAAAGAGCUCCACGAGUCAGACACUCCUUUUUUCGGCAUUGUGCCGACCGAUGGAGAGUACCCGCUUGGGCACAUUUACAUGCCUGUCACCUUUGGAACUCCGGAAAACUACAGAACCGAGUUCCUGAGGUUCGAGGUAGCAAGCUUCGACUGCGGAUACAACGCCAUCAUCGGUAGGCCAGGGUUGGCAAAAUUCAUGGUCAUUCCACACUAUUCAUACAUGGUAUUGAAGAUGUCGGGACCACAAGGAAUCAUCACCGUGCACGCUGACUUCCAAGGCGCCGCUGAAUGUUUCCGAGUGGCCAUUCAGGUAGCCCUCACCACCAAACCACUGACGACUUCCUCCGCACAGGCGAACUCAAAGCCUGAGGAAGACCUCGCGAUACCUGCGAAUGAAGCUCAAGUCGUGACCUCUAUGCGGUUGACUGAGGAGACAAAGAGAAUCAACCUCAGGUUCGCUGAUGAACGCAAGACUGCCAUCAUCAGCUCCAGCCUGGACAACAAAUAGGAAGGCGCGCUCAUCCAGUUUCUGCAAGAUAACUGAGACGUAUUUGCAUGGCAGCCUGUGGAUAUGCCGGGAGUCCUGAGAGAACUGGUCGAGCACAAACUGAAGGUCUAUCCCCAGGCAAGGCCGAUCCGACAAAAGUUGCAUCGUUUCACGCCUAACAAGAGAGAAGCUAUUCGCGCCGAGCUAGCUCACUUAGUCGCAGCAGGGUUCAUUAGAGAAGUAUUGCAUCCUGAGUGGUUAGCAAAUCUUGUUCUUGUACUCAAAAAGAAUAAAGUGGAUUGGCGCAUGUGCAUCGACUAUACAGAUCUCAACAAACACUGUCCAAAGGAUCCCUUCGGACUUCCUAGAAUAGAUCAGGUGGUGGAUUCGACCGCCGGAUGUUCUAUGUUGUCCUUCCUAGACUACUACUCUGGAUACCAUCAGAUCAGCCUGGCAAAAGAGGAUGAGUAAAAAACAGCAUCCAUUACCCCGUUUGGAGCUUUCUGCUAUACCUCCAUGUCGUUUGGCCUCAAAAAUGCUGGAGCGACUUACCAGAGAGCUAUCCAAACAUGCUUAGCCGAUCACUGGGGCAAGCGGGUAGAAGCUUAUGUUGAUGAUGUUGUGAUCAAAAUAGAAAACUCAGAAAACUUCAUUGAAGAUUUGCAGCUGGUCUUCAACAGCCUGAGGCGAUACCGGUGGAAACUCAACCCAGAAAAAUGUGUCUUUGGAGUACCAGCAGGGAAGUUACUCGGAUUCAUUGUCAGCCACCGAGGAAUUGAAGCUAACCCGGAAAAAAUUGAGGCUAUCAUGAGAGUGGAGGCACCACGAUCACAGAAGAAAGUACAAAGGCUUACCAGAUGCAUGGCAGCUUUGAGCAUAUUCAUAUCAAGGCUAGGCGAGAAAGGUUUCCCAUUCUACAAAUUGCUCAAGAAGGUGGACAAGUUCCAAUGGACCACAGAAGCACAAGAAGCUCUCGAUGCAUUUAAGAAGUUCUUGACCAUGCCACUAGUGCUAAAGCCGCCAUGCCGAGCCACACCAGAUCAGCCGGCGGAAGAUCUGCUGUUAUACAUCUCCUGCACGACUCACGUGGUAAGCACCGCGUUAGUAGUCAAGCGGGCAGAGGAAGGGCACACAUAUCCAGUACAUCAUCUGGUCUACUUCAUCAGUGAAGUUCUGGGACCCUCUAAAAAGAAGUAUCCUCAAGUUCAAAAACUGUUGUACGCAAUAUUUCUAACUGCUCGUAAGCUCCGUCACUACUUUGACGACCACAAAGUCAUAGUAGUCACCGGGUUUCCAAUAGGGGAUAUUCUUCACAACAAAGAAGCCAUUGGAAGAAUAGCUAAGUGGGUCUGCGAGCUGGGAGCUCACGACAUUGAGUUUCGGCCUCGCACAGCAAUAAAGACUCAAGCACUAGUUGACUUCGUAUCAGAAUGGACCGAGCAACAAGUACCAGACAACCCAGAGGCUACAAAAGUAUGGCGAAUGUAUUUCGAUGGCUCGCUGAAGCUGCAGGGAGCAGGCACAGGAAUCCUCUUCAUUUCCCAUGGAGGUGAACAACUUAAAUAUGCUCUUUAGUUAUCAUUCCCAGCAUCAAAUAAUACAGCAGAAUAUGAGGCUUUGAUCCAUGGAUUGAACAUUGUCGUAUCACUGGGCAUUAAGAGGUUGAUGGUAUACGGAGAUUCACUGGUGGUCAUAAGUCAGAUAAAUAAAGACUGGGAUUGCUCGACUGAUUCUACGGACAAGUACUAUAGAUCCGUCUGAAAAGUAGAAGACAAAUUUAAAGGGCUGGAAUUCCAUCACAUGGAAAGAGAUCGCAACGCAGCAGCAAACGCGUUGUCGAAGCUAGGAUCCAGUCGAGCUCAGGUCCCACCCGAAGUUUUCUUCCAAGAAGUGUCACGCCCAAGCAUUCCCACAGAUCAGGCAGAAGAGUGCAACACUUUGAGCCAGCCAGAGUCAGACUCUGAUGACUGGAGAGAGCCUAUCAUCAGGUAUAUAAAGAAUGAGGAAGAACUGGAUGAUAAGGCUGCAGCAGAACGCAUCGCAAGACAGUCGGCCCACUACACCCUCAUAGGGGGCGCACUGUACAGAAGGGGUGCAACAAGAGUCCUCAUAAAGUGCAUUUCCUCGAUUACCAGGAGACAACUACUGGAAGAGAUUCAUGCCGGACAGUGUGGAAUACACGCAGCAUCCAGAACUCUAGUUGGGAAAGUCUUCAGGUCCAGUUUCUAUUGGCCAACAGCAAAGAGUGAGGCAGCCGAGUUAGUCUAGAGAUGUGAAGCUUGCCAAUUCUUGUCAAAGCAACAACAUUUACCAGCACAGCAGCUGUAGACCAUACCUAUAACAUGGCCAUUUGCGUGCUGGGGAUUAGACAUGAUUGGACCCUUCAAGAAAACUCAAGGAGGUUAUACUCACGUGCUGGUCGCCAUCGAUAAAUUCACCAAGUGGAUAGAGUACAAACCCAUUGCUUCUCUAACUUUCGCCAAGGCAGUGGAAUGCAUACAAGAUAUAAUAUUCAGGUUUGGGAUACCAAAUAGCAUCAUAACCAACGUGGGAUCCAACUUCACUAGCUUUGAAUUCUUUGACUUCUGCGAGCAACGAAGCAUCUAGAUCAAAUAUUCAUCCGUAGCACACCCAAGAGCUAAUGGUCACGUGGAAAGGGCUAAUGGAAUGAUACUGGAAGCACUCAGGAAGAAAGUCUUCGACAAGAAUGAAAAGUUCACAGGAAAAUGGAUCAGAGAGUUGCCUUACAUGGUUUGGAGCCUAAGAACUCAACCUAGUCGAGCUCUGCAUGGAAACACCCCUUUCUUCAUGGUCUGUGGUUCUGAGGCAGUGCUACCUGCCGACCUCAGGUUUGGAGCACCAAGGCUGGUAUUGGAAAGCAUAGCUGAAGCAGAAGCUACCAGGCUAGAAGAUAUUGACGUGCUGGAGGAAGAGCGAUUGAAUACAGCAAUUCAGUCAGCCAAAUACCAGCAGACCCUGAGGCGCUAUCAUGAUAAGGCUAUACGGUCCUUUGUAGUAGGAGGCUUGGUCCUUCGCCGAAUUCUAACGGGAGAAGGACGGCACAAAUUGUCACCGCUAUGGGAAGGGUCAUUCAUGGUAUCGAAGGUCACUCGGCCAGGAUCACAUUGGCUUACUCAAAUGGAUGGCACGGAAGUGGUGAAUUCAUGAAAUAUAGAGCAUCUCAGGAAGUUUUACACCCUUAGCAAGAGCUAUCAGAGCAACGUUGUACUCUGUGAUUGGAAAAUACGUCAUCAAUAAAAGUUUUCAUUCUCAAAGGCAUUCAAACUAUUGGUUAUCAAUUGACUUCGGCUUGAUUAAACUUGAAAUCAACACACUUACUCGACUUAGGGUGACCACUAUACCCUACUAACGGAGCCAUCGGCUUAAGUCGGCAAUGACUUAAGACGGUGCAACAUGCUCACGCUUACUCGACUUAGGGUGACCAUUAUACCCUACUAACGGAGCAAUCGGCUUAAGUCGGCAAUCACUUAAGACGGUGCAACAUGCUCACGCCUACUCGACUUAGGGUGACCACUAUACCCUACUAACGGAGCAAUCGGCUCAAGUCGGCAAUGACUUAAGACGGUGCAACAUGCUCACGCUUACUCGACUUAGGGUAACCACUAUACCCUACUAACGGAGCAAUCAGCUUAAGUCAGCAAUGACUUAAGACGGUGCAACAUGCUCGCACCUACUCGACUUAGGGUGACCACUAUACCCUACUAACAGAGCAAUCAGCUUAAGUUGGCAAUGACUUAAGACGGUGCAACAUGCCCGCGCUUACUCGACUUAGGGUGACCACUAUACCCUACUAACGGAGCAAUCGGCUUAAGUCGGCAAUGACUUAAGACGGUGCAACAUGCUUACACUUACUCGACUUAGGGUGACCACUAUACCCUACUAACGGAGCAAUUGGCUUAAGUCAGAGAUGACUUAAGACGGUGCAACAUGCUCACAUCUACUCAUCUUAGGGCAACCACUAUGCCUUACCAGCCAAGCGAUUGGCAUAAGUUAGGAAAAAACUCCAAAACCAGCACGCCACGUUUACUUCCGCAAUCGCUCAAAGAUGAUUGUUGCAUCCUGACAACAGAAACAAAUGUUAUAGUUGUCAGCACCAAGGGCACAUUCUAGUGCCCUAUCCACCGAAUAUCCUAGCACAAUGAUCACACGCACACAUAUGAUUCACAAAUACAUUCAGUAGGGCUGGGCAAAAAACCCGUAACCCGAAACCCGAACCCGGAAUACCCGAACUCGAACCCGAAAUACCCGAAACCCGAAUUUUGUUUGGGAAUUUCGGGUAGCAACUUGCAAAACCCGAAUUUAUUUUGGGUAAUUCGGGUAUCACAAUCGGGUACCCGAAUUACCCAAACUUUCAUGUGUCUUGUACUCAUGUCAUGCUUAAUUAUUAAUUUGUACAUCUAUAAUUAUGUGUAAGUGUGAAUAACUUGUGAUUGUAGAUUGCUUGUGUUUUAUAUGUCCAUGCAUAUCAUUAUUCAAACUAUAGUUUUAUACUAAUUUAAUAUGGUGUAUGUGUUUUUAUGAAACUAACACAAUAGUUCGGGUAGUUCGGGAAUACCCGAACCCGAAAUUCCGGGUACUCAAAUUUUCGGGUAUUGUAAAAUCCAUUGUGAUUUCGGGUAUCAAUUCCUAAAAUCCGAAAUUUUAAAUACCCGAAUUACCCGACCCGAAUUUUUCGGUUAACCCGAACGCCCACCCCUAACAUUCAGUAUCUUCUAAACACGUCACUACGGCGAAACAUCUCUAUUUGACAAUAUCUUUCGCAGGGGCAAUUGAGCAAGAAGGGCGACUCGAGGCAUCAGGCGCAGCUUUCACGUCGGCAACAAUGUCAUCAGGAACAACUACACCGGGCCUUCUCAUCAAGAUCCGCCCCUGGCGAAUGGCUUUGUUCAUAGCCUUGUCGCGCUGAGCCUUCAGAAUGGCGCAGUGGUCCUCUGCAACUUUGGUAGCCAGUCGAGCGGCCUCUAGCUCCUGGGCGACUAACUUCUUGGAGGCACGCAGAUCUUUGACGAUGGAAUCCUUGCUUGACACUGACUGUCUAAGCUACAGGACCUCAUCUUGGGACACUUGAAGUUCGCGACGAUGAUGAUCCAGAUCUGACAUAGUAAAGCGAUGGCUUCUCUCCAAGAUGGUUAAGGAAUUGCUGGCAUCACGAUACAACCUAUCCAGAUUGUCACGAGAAGCUGCAAGUGCUCGUCUCUCCUCCUAUAAACAAGAAUCAACUUUUAAACAUCCAUUAAACAGUAAGCAAGGCAGAGCCAAAUAAGUAAGUUUACCUCAUGAGCUGACCUUUCAGAGUCAAGCUGAGCAUUGAGAGAAGAAUUCAAAGAAUGUGCGUCGUCCAAAGAAGGAGAAACCCAAACCAGGUUGAUCUGACCUUGAGAAUACUUCUCUUCAAGAUUAGAGUACCGUCAGGUUGAGUCGGCUUGAUGUUGAAGACAUUUUCCCUCAAACUCAGAGCACCACCAGGGCAUAUCUGACAAAGCAGUCAUGGAGGGAUACAUGGUUAAAAACAAAAGUUGAUCAAUCAGCCAAGGAAGAAACAAAGUUACCAACCAGCAUUUGACGCCUUCAAAUCAGCUAUCUGUUUUUGAAGCAGCAAUGGGUUCCACUGCGUCAGAGACAGAGCCCCUUCUGGGAUAGUGGCACCAUGUGAUCUCAACUGAGCGGACAUUCCGUCGACCAAAGCCUGUGAUCAAAGACAAAUGAGUAUAGCGAAGAUGAUUUACCAGGAGGAACAGUAAAACGAAAAGAGCUGAGUUACCUGAAGAUUGGAAAGAAUGAGGGUAAUCCCAAGUCAUGAGAAGCUGCGUUGUAGCUCGAUGAAGGAAGAUCAACCGGAACAAUUUGAAGAACAUUGUCAGGGGUUGACUCAACCCCACUAGCAGAUAUCAGAAUUCUUGCAUCUGGCUCGCUGAUCUCCAAGGCGACUCGCUCGCUCGAAGUUAAAGAAGCAUGCAUCACCACCACUUUAUCAGAUCAUGAUGGAGACGACCCGACAUGGACAUCCAUGGAGGUGUGGGAAGGAGAGCUCACUUGGACACCCUUGGGGGCUGGGUUGUAGCUUGCGCCACCCACCAGAGCUGGAUCAUUACCGGCAAUACCCUCGGGGGCUGGGUUGCAGCUCGCGCUACCCACUAGAGCCGGAUCACUACCGGUGACACCCUUGGGGGCUAGGUAACUGCCAGCAUCACCCUCGGGGGCUGAGUUUUCUGCAACAGCCACCUCUAAGGCUGAAGGAUCCUCAGUCACCUCCAUAGGAGUCGAGCAAUCCUAACCAACUUCUUGACAUCGAAGACUGCCUUCCAAAGUCGACGAUGCGCGAGACACUUCUCGGGAUACCUCUAAUCCCACGUCUGGAAUUUCAGAGCAAACAUCCAUCAUAUCACCAACAGUCGGCUCCGACAGUAUAUCUUCAGGAACGACAUCCUCAAGGGCCCGAUCAAAAUCUGCUAUGGACAACUCUUGAAGGCUAACAAGAGCAGACAGAGCCGGAGAAGGAAUAUAACUAUCCCCCCUACUACCUCUGUAACGCCGGCUAUUCUUACGAAUUAGCGGAACUUCUUCUUCCUCUUCUUCGUCCACAUCAAAAAUACGGACAAUAGUCGGUGCACGGACACACCCAUUGGGUUCAGCUUCUGCACGGUCACCCCCAUUAUGUUCAGCUUCUGCACGGUUACACCCAUUGGGUUCAGCUUCAACAAGGUCACACACAUUGGGGACAACUGGUGCAAGGUCACACCCAUUGGGGUCAACUUCAACGUGUACACCACCAUUGGGAUCAACCUCAGGAAGAACCUCUGCUGGUACUUCUUCACAAACAGGAACAGAAGGGCCAGCAUCCCGGUCCAAGCAUGAUAGUCGUCGGAGCCGCCUCUUUUCUUCUUCUCCUCCUCAAAAGGCGCAGUCGGACGGCUAACCUGGCGAGAACGUUUUGGGCGAGUACCCUUAGGCUUUCGGGUGUCCACUGUUUUGUUAACCUCUUUUCCAACCGUAACAGCCAUCGGUUCAGCAGCGGCCGAGUCAGAAGAUUCUCCAGCCAACAUAUUGAGUACAACAUCUAUUUCUGCAUCAUCCGGACUUGCCGGCAUCUCAAAGUGAACUUGCUUCUCAUCAUUGGGAAGAUCACGAAGAGGAGCAACCAGAGCCUCAAUGUCUUCAGGAGAGGGUCGCACUCUAAGACCCAGACCACUAUCACUGGAAGGAGGGUUGGACACGAAAUUGAAAAAUGACCUAGGAGGUGACAGAUUCCAAGCAGAAUAAGCAACAGGAGCACCAACAUUUGAUACCUUGCCCCUCAGGAUCAUGUCUAGUCGGCUCACUAGAUCCUCAGUAGGAAUUUUCCUGUCGGUAACCCGAGUUGAAUCAGUAAUACCACUGUACAAGUAAGCUGGAUACGCCCUAUCUUUCAAAGGCUGAAUAUUCUUGAAAACAAAGUCAGCAACUACAGCUUCGGCAGUCAGACCUCUUUCCUUCAGCAGACAGAUCUCAGCAAGCAGAACCCUAGCCUCCGUCACCUCCAAAGCAGUAGGAGACUCAACCCAACUUAGAGUGCGUACAUCUGGCUGUCUCCCCGACCGAGGGGGGAGGGACUUGCCGUGGUUUUCCAUAAUAAACCAUUCAAGGCGCCACCCUUUAAUGUUGUCCUUGAGAGGAAUGUCAAGGUAUUCUGUCUUCCUCCCGCGGCGCAUCUCCAGACUUGCACCACCAACGAGCUGGUGCUGCCCCCAGCCAUCCCAGGCCGAUAGUGAUACAAAUACUUCCAUAAUCCGAAAUGAGGAAGAAUUCCGAGGUAGGCCUCACACAGAUGUACAAACAUAGAAAUUUGCAAGAUGGAAUUGGGAUUCAGGUGAGUCAGGUUUAGAUUGUAAAAAUCGAUGAUGCCGCGGAAGAAGGGAGAGAUGGGAAGAACAAGACCGCAGAUGAGAAAAGGAACAUAGACAACGGAUUCGUGGGUAUCUUCUGUCGGAACAGUGACCCCACGACAAAUCCACCAAGAGCAGAGCUCUUUUGGAGGAAGAACUCCAACAUCAACAAGGUGGAGGAGAUCCGAUUCUGACACAACAGACAUGUGGUUACCUGCAAACGACAACUGACUGUUGGGAUCGAGGGGAGGAAUGACCACCGCACCAGAAUUCUGGUUCUUCCGCUUAGGCGCCAUUGGAAUCUCACCGGUGGGUUGAACAAGGGCGAAAUCAGAGGGAAACAAAGAAGUGGUUUGAGGCGAAAAUGUGAAGUUAGGGCUCAUAAAUCAGAAGCGUGCGGUGACGUGAUAUAAAUGGGAUUUUCCUAGGUUGGGCUCCAUUUCUAAAAGAUGCCAAGUCAUCACUCGGGAAAACAAGAUUUCCGACAUAACUCGGUCGUUACCUCUAAAACACCGACGUCAUCAAGCACCACUCGGUUGUUACCUCUAAAACGCCGACAGAGUCUGUCAUAACUCGACUGUUACCUCUAAAACGCCGAUGUCAUCAAGCACCACUCGGUGGUUACCUCUAAAACGCCGGUAGAGUCUAUCAUAACUCGACCGUUUUCUCUAAAAUAAUGCCAGCAGAACCAAACAGGACUCAGCAGUUACCAGUUAUUAGUUGGUCAUUAUUUCUAAAAACGCCAGCAACGCUAAGCGCGAAGACAAACUAUCAAUUGACUAUAAAGGAAGAACGACGGAAAAGCAAAAGACUGCUCGAAACAAGCUGAAUUUUUAUUCAAUAUAUGGAGGAGGGAAGUUUUUCUACAAACUUAAAGACCAACUCAUUAUGAGUCGGCCUUUUUUCCCUUUCUCACUACAUUACAUUACUACAUCACUACACUAUACUACUAACUACUACUACAUUAUUCUGCUGUUGCUACUACUACUACUACUACUACUACUACUACUACUACUAAUUACCUAUACUAAUAUUUAAACCAGUGGCGAUUUGCCACUCGCCUUGUUGCUGCCACCGCUGCCCUUGCCGUCGUCGUCGCCCUUGUCGCUGUUGCUUCCGUCGCCCCUGUCGUCGCCGUCGCCAUCAUCGCCGCCAUCACCUCCAUCGCCGCCAUCGCCCUCGUCGUCGUCGCUCCCCUCCUCGGACGAGUCGGAGGAGUUCUCCUCAUCCGAAGAGACCUCCGACUCAUCUGAGCCCUUGAGCCCGGAGCGCUCGACGGCCCGGAUGUACGUCCACACUUCGGCGGCGAUCCCCUGGGAAUCGUCCGAGUCAUCGGACGACACCGGGGGAGAGGCGUAGACCGGCGCCCCCUCGGACUCGGAGGAAAACUCCUCCGAGUACUGGGGGUCCCUAAAGUCCUCUGAGGGGGGACUCGUCUCGCGCUUCCGCUUGUCGCCGGAGUGGUGCGACGAACUUCCACCCUUCUUGUUCUUGCCCAUGGUUUAUUGGAAGAGAAAAGAAAAGUGGGAAAACAAGCAACAAAUGGCCAGAAGAUGUGUGAAGACACUAGGGAGGCAGACAGUCUAUUUAUAGAGGUCGGAAGCAACCGUUCAUCUCCUACCACGGUCACCGAUCAGUCGCUAGUAUUCAAUAAGCAAUUCAAAUUGUCUGAAAACAAGUCAGGCAGCAGACGCCGUUUCACAUAACACGACACCAUUUGGACUAAGGUCAACUGCUUGGACGAUAUGAUUACGCCCCACGGUCACGUCAAGUUACUACUCAAAGAUGGUCUGCUAAAUGCUCAGUGUACCAAGCCGUCCCUCGGUUACACCCAUUGGGGGGACGUUCAAGAAUUUUCAAUAGAUUUUCCCAAGCAGUCACAUCUAUACAGUAUACGCAAUGAUUGGGGUAAUCCCAAGUCAUUAGAAGCUGCGUUGUAGCUCGAUGAAGGAAGAUCAACCGGAACAAUUUGAAGAACAUUGUCAGGGGUUGACUCAACCCCACUAGCAGAUAUCUGAGAGCACCUAGAGGGGGGUGAAUAGGUGAUCCUGUAAAAAACUUGAAACUUAAUGCCACAAAACUUGAUUAGGAGUUAGCACAAUAAAGCCAAGUGGCUAGAGAGGAGUUCUUGCAAGACACGAUAACCACAAAAAGAUCAACACAGAUAGGCACAGUGGUUUAUCCCGUGGUUCGGCCAAGUCCAACACUUGCCUACUCCAUGUUGUGGCGUCCCAACGGACAAGGGUUGCAAUCAACCCUUCUCAAGCGGUCCAAAGACCCACUUGAAUACCACGGUGUUUUGCUUUGUUUACUAUAUCUCGCUUGCGAGGAAUCUCCACAACUUGGAGCCUCUCGCCCUUACAAUUUGAUGUUCACAAGAAGCACGGAAGUAAGGCUGGGAUGAGCAACGCACACAAGACACAAAAACAGAGCACACACACGCACACAAGUCACAACUCGAGCUCACAACACAACCCAAAGAGUUCUCUACUCAAAUGGAGCUCUAGUUGCUAUCACAAAGAAUCGAAUGCGCGGAAUUGGUGUCUUGGUGCUUAGGAAUGCUUAGAGAAUGCUUGGUAUUGUCCUCCAUGCGCCUAGGGGUCUCUUUUAUAGCCCCAAGGCAGCUAGGAGCCGUUGAGAGCAUUCCAGGAAGGCAAUUCUUGCCUUCAGUCGCCUGGCGCACCGGACAGUCCGGUGCACCACCGGACACAGUCCGGUGCGGAUUUCUUUCCUUCUUUGGCGAAGCGGACCGUUGGAGAUUCAGAGCCGUUGGCGCACCGGACACUGUCUGGUGCACACCGGACAGUCCGGUGCCCCCUUCUGACUGUUGGCUCUGCCACGCGCCGCGCGAGGAUUACACGGCCGACAGUUGGCCCGGCCGACUGUUGGCUCACCGGACAGUCCGGUGCACCACCGGACAGUCCGGUAAUUUAUAGUCGUACGCCGCCGACGAAACCCGAGAGCAGCCAGUUCGCCAGAGCCAGCCUGGCGCACCGGACACUGUCCGGUGUACCACCGGACAGUCCGGUGCACCCAGACUGCGCAGAGUCUUGGCUGUUCAGCCAAGUCUUUUCCAAAUUGGUCUUUUCCUGUUUCUAGCACUUAGACACAAUAUAUUAGUCUCCAAAACAAUGUACUAAGUCUUAGAAACAUACCUUUACUCUUGAUUUGCACUUCUUAAGUCUUUGGCACAAGUAUUACUCAAAGCAUUUGUGUGGAGCACUUAAUCACCAAAAUCUUAUAGAAAUGUCCCAAGGGUACAUUUCCCUUUCAAUAUCAGAAUUCUUGCAUCUGGCUCGCCGACCUCCAAGGCGACUCGCUCGCUCGAAGUUAAAGAAGCAUGCAUCACCAUCACUUUAUCAGAUCGUGGUGGAGACGACCCGACAUGGACAUCCAUGGAGGUGUGGGAAGGAGAGCUCACUUGGACACCCUCGGGGGCUGGGUUGUAGCUUGCGCCACCCACCAGAGCUGGAUCAUUAUCGACAAUACCCUCAGGGGCUGGGUUGCAGCUCGCGCUACCCACUAGAGCCGGAUCACUACCGGUGACACCCUCGGGGGCUGGGUAACUGCCAACAUCACCCUCGGGGGCUGGGUUUUCUACAACAGCCACCUCUAAGGCUGAAGGAUCCUCAGUCACCUCCAUGGGAGUCGGGCAAUCCUGACCAACUUCUUUACAUCGAAGACUGCCUUCCAAAGUCGACGAUGCGCGAGACACUGUUCGGGAUACCUCUAAUCCCAUGUCUGGAAUUUCAGAGCAAACAUCCAUCAUAUCGCCAAUAGUCGGCUCCGACAGCAUAUCUUCAGGAACGACAUCAUCAAGGGCCCGAUCAAAAUCUGCUAUGGACAACUCUUGAAGGCUGACAAGAGCAGACAGAGCCGGAGAAGGAAUAUCACUAUCCCCCGUACUACCUCUGUAACGCCGGCUAUUCUUAUGAAUUAGCGGAACUUCUUCUUCCUCUUCUUAGUCCUCAUAAAAAAUACGGACAAUAGCCGGUGCACGGACACACCCAUUGGGUUCAGCUUCUGCACGGUCACCCCCAUUGGGUUCAGCUUCUGCACGGUUACACCCAUUGGGUUCAGCUUCAACAAGGUCACACACAUUGGGGACAGCUGGUGCAUGGUCACUGUUGGGGUCGUGCUUCGGUAUGCCGAAGGUCUCACACGAAGAAGCAGCUUCGGCCAAAGUCGUUUCUAAGAGAUGGCCGAAGGUCCCUUUUCAUGGAGCUUCGGCGUUUUAAACCGACAUAGAGGCAGAAUGACCUUUUUAUACAUGUAUGUCCGAGUCAAUGUUGUAAACUUCCGCAAGGGGCAUAAUUGUAAUUUGUCACAGGCUGCGACCUGUGUCUAUAAAUAGAUGAACAGUACCUCUGUACUGUUCACGCGAACUUGCUUUUGGCCUUCGCAUCACAUUCGUACUUUUUGCCUUCCGCAAGACCGAAGGUACAUUUGUACUUCAAAGUCAUUUAUAUUCAUUAAUACAAGUAGAGAUAAUUCUAUGAUAAUAUUUACAUGUUUAUUUCAUGAUUUAUGUGAAUGCUUUAUUCUUCGUUGUUGUGCUUACGAAGGUAUGUUCUUUGUAACCUUCGUCCGAGAUGCUAUAUAUCCCGAAGGGAUAUAUCGUUAUGAAGGACGAAGGACCUUAAUACUUAACAUUUUCCGUGUUGCCUUGUUCUUAAUUCGAAGCAUUUGAGAACAAGUCCCCAACAUUGGCGCCCACCUCCGGUCAACUCACUUCCACCUUUCUGAGCUGAUGGCUUCGUUCAACACUCAAGCUGGAGCUGCUUCGGCUUCGAAGCUGGUGCUCCCGAUAACAGGCGGUUCUUGCUCAGAGCCAGCUAACAAAAAGCAGAAGAAGGAGGCUCAGAGAAGGGUGCAGCAUGUUGGAGUGCAGGGACCCUUCAUUAAGUCAAAAUGGUCUCACAUUCCAAUUACCUUCUCUCAGGAAGAUCUUCAGCUCAAGGAUUAUCCUCACAAUGAUGCUAUGGUCAUUUCUUGUGUGAUCAAAGGGUUUCUGGUUCACAAUGUCCUAGUUGACACAGGCAGUGCAGCUGACAUUAUAUUUGCCAAAGCCUUCAGACAGAUGCAAGAGCCUGAAGACAAGAUUCAUGAUGCUACGCACCCUCUUUGUGGCUUCGGAGGGCGGCAGAUUGUGGCACUCGGGAAGAUUACCAUGCCGGUAACCUUCGGAUUUGUUAAUAACACAAGGACUGAGCAAAUUGUGUUUGAUAUUGUUGACAUGGAAUACCCCUACAACGCCAUCAUUGGUCGUGGUACCCUAAAUGCUUUUGAAGCAAUUCUUCACCCAGCUUAUCUCUGCAUGAAGAUACCUUCGGACCAAGGGCCUAUUGCUAUUCAUGGGAGUCAGGAAGCUGCCAGAAGGGCCGAAGGAAGCUGGAUUGAUUCCAAGGCAAUCCAUAAUAUAGAUGGAGUUGAAGCUUGUGAACAGUACAAGUUCAGGAGGGAAAAAGCAGCUUCGGCUGAUCAGCCGAAGCCCAUGCUGCUGUGUGAGGAUAUAGCAGAGCAGAAGGUGCUAUUGGGCUCGCAAUUAUCUGAAGAUCAAGAGAAAACCUUGAUAAGGUUUUUAUUCAACAAUAAAGAUGUUUUUGCAUGGUCAGCCAAUGAUCUUUGUGGAGUGAAUCGGGAUGUUAUUGAACAUUCGCUCAAUGUUGACCCAUCCUUCAGACCCCGCAAGCAGAGGCUUCGGAAAAUGUCUGAUGACAAGGCCGAAGGGGCUCGCAACGAAGUAAAAAGACUCCUAAGUGCAGGAGUUAUCAGAGAAGUGAAGUAUCCAGAAUGGCUAGCUAACACUGUUAUGGUGAAGAAGGCCAAUGGAAAGUGGAGAAUGUGUAUUGAUUUCACAGAUCUCAACAAGGCUUGUCCGAAGGAUGAGUUCCCGCUGCCAAGGAUAGACUCUUUAGUUGAUGCAGCAGCUUCUUCGGAACUCAUGAGUCUCCUGGAUUGUUACUCAGGUUAUCAUCAAAUCUGGAUGAAAAAGGAGGAUGAGCCGAAGACUAGUUUCAUAACCCCAAGUGGUACAUAUUGCUAUCUUCGGAUGCCUGAGGGGCUUAAGAAUGCUGGAGGGAGUUUCAGCAGGAUGACUGCGAAGGUUCUCCAAUCUCAGAUAGGCAGAAAUGUGUUGACCUAUGUUGAUGACAUUAUUGUAAAAAGCACGAAGCAAGAAGACCAUAUUGCUGAUCUGCAGGAGACCUUCGCCAGCUUCAGACAAGCUGGUCUGAAGCUGAAUCCAGAAAAAUGUGUCUUCGGAGUAAAGAAGGGUAAGUUCCUUGGAUGCUUGGUUUCAACAAAGGGAAUUGAAGCUAACCCAAAUAAAAUCGAAGCUAUACUUCGAAUGGAGCCACCAACCACAAGAAAGGGGGCCCAAAGAUUGACAGGAAGACUGGCUUCUCUUAACAGAUUUAUAUCCAGAUCAGCGGAAAGAAAUCUACCCUUCUUCGAGGUGCUAAAAUCAGCUGAAGUCUUUCAAUGGGGCCCAGCUCAACAAAAAGCUUUCGAAGAACUCAAGCAAUACUUGAUAGAUCUAACAACAUUAACUCCACCAAUGCCAGGGGCUCCUCUGUUGUUGUAUGUGGCAGCUUCGCACUCAGCAGUAAGUGCGGCACUUGUGCAGGAGAAGUUUGAUGGACAAAUCAAGAAGCAGGUCCCAGUAUAUUUUGUAUCUGAGGUCCUUAGUGUCUCAAAGAAAAAUUAUACAGAACUGGAGAAGGUGUUGUAUGCCGUUCUAAUGGCAUCCAGGAAGCUUCGGCAUUAUUUUCAGGCAUAUAAUAUUAUUGUUCCUUCUUCGCAGCCGUUGAAAGAUAUCAUGAGAAAUAAAGAAGCUACUGGCCGAAUUGGAAAAUGGGCUGCGGAGCUUAAUGAAUUUUACAUUGAUUAUGUGCACAGAUCCUCGAUUCAGUCUCAAGCAUUGGCAGAUUUUAUUGCCGACUGGACGCCAGGGGCUCAGGGCGAAGAAGCGAAUAAAGAUGCCGAAGCAUGGACAGUGUUUUGUGAUGGCUCCUGGGGAAUCUUCGGAGCAGGAGCAGCUGCUGUUUUGGUUUCACCGUCCAAGGUUAAAACUUGCUAUGCAGCAAGACUGGACUUCAGCUGCACAAAUAAUAUUGCUGAGUACGAAGCCUUGCUCCUGGGUCUUCGGAAACUAAAGGCGAUGGGGAUCAGGAGGGCGAUCCUUAAAACUGAUUCUCAGAUUGUUUCGGGUCAUAUUGACAAAAGUUGCAAGGCUAAAGACCCGAAGCUUGAAAAAUACCUAGACACAGUCCGAAGGAUCGAAGCUUCCUUCGAAGGAUUUUCUGUUAAGAAUAUCCCUCGAGGGCAAAAUGAACAUGCUGAUUUGUUAGCCAGGUCUGCAGCACAGGGGCUGCCGCUACCUUCGGAUGUAUUCUUCGAAACAAUAAAGGCACCUUCAGUGGAGUUACUUGAAAGAGCAGUUCUUACUAUUUCUCCUGUGUACAGUGAAGAUUGGAGAACUGAAAUAAUUUCUUACCUUCAGGGCAACUUCCUAUCAGAUGACGAAGCUUAUAAUAAAAGAAUAGAGGCAAGAGCUCGUCCGUAUAUCAUUAUAGAAGGGGAAUUAUACAAGCAUGGAGUUUGUGCCCCGCUGCUCAAGUGCUUGUCUAGAGCCGAAGGUAUAGAGUUGAUGAAGGAGAUACAUGCAGGCCUUUGUGGAUCCCACAUCGGAUCCAGGCCGUUACUUGGAAAAGUGUUCCGUCAAGGAUUUUAUUGGCCGAAGGCAGCUUCGGAUGCAGCUGAGUUAGUUCAAAAGUGCGAAGGUUGUCAGAAAUGUGCAAGAGAUCAAAAACAACCUUCGUCUUUGACACAGCUAAUACAACCCAUCUGGCCAUUGCAAAGGUGGGGCCUCGAUUUGCUGGGCCCAUUACCACCGGCUCAAGGCAAUCUGAAAUAUGUUGUAGUUGCUGUGGAAUAUUUUUCCAAGUGGAUUGAGGCGAAGCCAUUAGCUACAAUAACUUCGGCUACUGUCCAAAAAUUUUUCUGGCAGAAUAUUGUCUGUCGCUUCGGAGUGCCGAAGGCUAUAACUGUAGAUAAUGGAACACAAUUCGACUCCGAAGAAUUCAGAAAUUUUUGUGAUCAAAUUGGCACGAAGAUCCACUUUGCGUCAGUCAGGCACCCGGAGUCGAAUGGGCUUGUUGAAAGGGCCAACGGCAUCAUAAUGACAGGAAUAAUGAAGCUAAUCUUUAAUCAACCAAGGGGAAAGUGGCCAGAUCAGCUUACCAAAGUGGUAUGGAGCCAUAACACAACAACAUCAAGAUCUACAGGCUUUACCCCAUUUAAGUUGUUAUUUGGUGACGAAGCAAUAACCCCGGAAGAAGCCAAAGCUGGAUCAAUAAGAGUGGUAGCUUCGGCAGAAUCAGGUCCCGAAGAUACUUGUCUCGUGGAAAAAGAUGCCUUAGAAGGGAUCAGGCUUCAGGCCGUGGAGAAUAUCAAUAAGUACCAGGCUGAAACAGUUAAAUGGCGAGAUAGAAAGGUCCGGCUAAAAAAUAUUGAGCCAGGACACUUGGUGCUUCGGAGAGUGGCCAAUCCGGAUACAGUGGGCAAAUUGCAACUGAAAUGGGAAGGGCCUUUCUUAGUAGCAUCUUCGUCAAGGCCUGGUUCGUACAGACUGAAGGACAUGGAUGGCAAUGAAAUUCCAAGAUCUUGGAAUGCGGAUGAGCUUCGGCGGUUUUAUGUAUAACUCGAUGUAAUUUUGACUUUUCUUUUCUUUUUCAUGGCACCCUUUUCCUUUCUAAAGGGGGAGAAAGGUUUUUAAUGGGGCCAUCAUAUGUAAUUUCCUUUUUAGUUUUAUAAGAGCAAAAUCCCCCAAAGAAUGUAAAUGUAAAAGCUGAGAGCGCACCAUCGAGUGCCGAAACUAAAAAAGAGAAGAAGCUCCAAAGACGUCCCUAAGGGGAUGCAGAGCUCACAGCGAAAAGUCAACGCUGAUUCCGCCGAAAGUAAAAGGCGAAGAAGCUCCAAAGUCGUUCCUAAGGGAAUGCAGAGCUUAUACCGUCUAAGUAAAAGACGAAGAAGCUCCAAAGACGUCCCUAGGGGGAUGCAGAGCUUACAGCGAAAAGUCAACGCUGAUACUGCCUAAGUAAAAGGCAAAGAUGCUCCAAAGUCGUUCCUAAGGGAAUGCAGAGCUGACGUGUGUUUGCUCCUAAGAAAAUGAUGGAUGAGUGUGGCUUCGGACAUACGCUUCGGACAUUCAUUUGCACAUUACAUCAUGGCAUUUGCAUGCAUAAGCAUUCAUUCAUAGCAUUUGUGUUCCUAAAUGGUUGCUUCGGCACAGAGAAAAGUUUCGGAUAAAUGGUUUGUUAUGAUUCGUUAUGUAAAAGAAAAGUUUCGAAGAAGUGGUUUUUUAUGAAUCGUUGUGUAUAAGAGUAGCAGUCUUUUAUGUUUUGUUAUGUAAGGAAAAGCUUCGGCAGAUAAGAGUAGCAGUCUUUUAUGUUUUGUUAUGUAAGGAAAAGCUUCGGCAGAUAAGAGUAGCAGUCUUUUAUGUUUUGUUAUGUAAGGAAAGGCUUCGGCAAAAAGAGGAAGCGGCCUUUUAUGCUUCGUUGUGUACGAAAAGAAGGGAAGGUGUUUUUUCGCCUUCGGCUCAAAAAACUGAUUUCGUCCACAUCAAAGCACCUCAAUCGAAGGGUAAGAAUAUAUUACAAGGUAUGUACAAAGUUCCUUGAAGAACAGUUUAAUUCUAUUUACAAGAGUUGUUACAAAAUUAUCCUGAGUUUUUCUAAAGCACACUUCUGCUAGUCUUCAUUAAGCUUCAGCUUCGACGACAACUUCGGCGACAUAUCCUAGGCAUCAUCUUCACCUUCGUCAUCCUACAUGAGUCAAGGAAUCAUAAGAAUCAAGCCCAAAGGAAAAGGUAAGCACGAAAUGUCAUUUCUUACUGGUUCAAGAUGACUUCGGGCUUCGUCUCCAGCUUUCUCUCGCCCGCCCUUUGUCCAUACCAUUUUUAUAAAUCUAUUGGAGAUACUUCGGGCGAGGUCGGGCAUAUCAUCCAGGAUUGAUGAAGAUAAGGUGAAGUUGGGCCUGUUGACAACCUUUCCAUGUUCGCAGCCGGCCUUCAGAAAUGCAGCAGCGGUACCCCGAGAAGCUACCCAGGCACAGAAGUCGCCGUGCCCGGCUAUAACUUCGUCAAGCUCUUCGAUUUCAGCUUCAAUAUGAUCGAAGGCCUGGGGUAAAUUUUCCGCCGAAGGGUUAAAUUUCCCACUGCUGGCUCCAACAGAGUAAAAUAUCUUCUUUAAUCGUCCAAUACAAUUAUUGCCAAAGUUCAAGCAUUUGUCUUGAAGGCUUGUUAAUGCUUUCUUCAAUUCUGAGCUGGUCUGGACUUCGGCUUUAAGCUUCGAAUUCAGUUCUAGCUUCUCCUGAUCAAAUUGUUUUGAUUGAUUGAUAAGCUUCGAAUUUAACUCUAAUAUUUUAGCCUCAGUUUCAGCCAGCAAGCCUUCGGUCGAUUGGAGCUCGAAGUCUUUCUUUUCAAUGAUGGCAGAUUGCUCUUUUAUUUUGCUUUCCAAGUUUUCAAUUAUAGCUUCGUGCUUUUUGUCCUCCAAGUCUUGUUGCAUCUUCAGAGCUUUGCUCAGUAGCAUGCUCUGAACAGAAACAACUUAUGUUAAGUAAUAUUUUCAUUGUUAACGGCAAUAAAAACCAUAGAAAAAGGUUGUUUACCUUGAAGUUAGAAUAAAACAAGCUGCCGACGAUAUGUUGUCGUCGGUAGCGGCUGAUGUCUGUCUCUAACUUCGGAAAACCGAUACUCUUCGAUAGAGUACAGAUUACCUUAGCUCCAGUCUGGUCUCGAAUACAGCCUAGUUUUUCAUCAUCUACACCCCCAAAUAGAAGGGCUCCUGGCUUGUAGCCGCAAGAUUUGGCAUAGUCUUUGAGUUCUUCUAUUUCGUCCUUCGUCAGUUUCUGCCCAAUUAGAUUCUGGAAAGAAUAGGCUUCGUCGUCCGGAGUUUCUUCGACUAUUUCUUUCCCUUUCCCUGGCACUGUGGCCAGGAUUUCUUCAGUAACGGUGGCAGCUUCUUCAAAGUUUUCCGUCAAAAUUUUGUCAAUAUUUUCAAGAGUAGUUUCUAAAUUUACAUCUUCGGGUGUGGCAGCUUCGGUAGCCGCGACUUCCGAAGCUCUACCUUCAGCAGCUGCCGUUUUCUGAAUUGACAACCUAGGUGGAGUUUUGUCGAUAACCUCAGUUACCGCAAUAAUUCUUUGCCGUUUGGGUUUGUUUAUCUUCGGUUGAUCCGGCUCGUCCACCUUUUCAAAAAGCUUCGUCAGUUGGAGCCCUAGUGGACUUAGCUUCGUAGGCAUGGGUUCAGUCAUUACCUUUAAAAUUUCCUCCACGUCGCUGGUAGAAGGCGGUGUGGGGGUCUCCUCUUCUUCGGGUGAUUUGCGCUUCGGAGCAGAUAUUUUUCUUUUCUUGAGAACUUUCUUCUCCUUUGCUGGUAUUUCUUCAUCCCUGAUCAGAGCUUCGGCUACUCUCUUUCUUUUGAGGCCCUCGGCGCCCUUGUUCAAUUGUUCGUAGUCUGGGUAUUCGAAGCCUAGGGCGUCGAGCACUCGGUUCAGCCUUCGUUUCGGUCGGGCACCGAAGGCUGCUGUCAUUAGUUGAUCCUCUUUUUUGGAGUAAUUCCCCAGGAUUUCGUUGCACAUCACCUCAACAGUGUCUAACCAUUCUUUGCAGGGUUUUUUGAAGAACUUCUUGAACUUGAAGUAAUAGGGAAGCCGGACAAGCUCCCCCUUCUUCUUCUCUCCCUCCAGCUUCGGCAUCUCCCACUCUUUUAGAGUAGGGAAAACUCUGAAUGCCAAGAACUCUUGAACUAGAUCCCUGGUGCCAAUAUGUUCUGAGAUAAUUUCAAAUUCACCCAGAGCAGCCCAGGUGGGACCUUUUAGGUCGCCAAUGCGGCAUUGUGGCCUUGUCUCUCCGAAGAUUAACUCCAGAGGGCUUUGUACCAAUUUUUCUUUGUCUUCAUCGACUUUUACAUAAAACCACUCAGAUUUCCAACCUGCUGGCCAUUUGCUUCGAUAGCUGAUGACAGGACACUUUGUUGUCUUCCGGUAGGCAAAAUUAUAGCAACCGAAAUUAUCAUGUAGCCCAUCUUUUCUGGCCUUUGUUUGGUAAUGUAAUUCGUGAGCUCGGCAGAAGCUGUCAGCAAAUGGUUCCACAGCUUGGCUUCGGAGGGCCCAGAUAUAAACAUUGAGCCUAACGAUGGCGUUAGGAGUCAAUUGAUGAAAGUAGAUACCAAACCUCCUUAGUAUCUCCGCAACAAUAUCGUGGAGAGGGAAUCUAAGCCCGGCUUUUAAAAAACUCUUGAAAAUAACAAUCUCAUCCUUCCUUGGCUUCGGGGUGGUUUCUUCUUCCCCGAAGCGGAGUAGCUUCUUCUGGUCCUCAUUGAAAUAACCUGCUUUCACCAUCUUCGAAAGGUCAGCUUUUGAAACAGUUGAUUUCCCAAAAUCCAGGUGACUGGGCUUGCUGGGCGUAGCAAGGUGAUAGUCAUCUUCGGAGUCAGUCCCUUCAAUGUUUUCUUUUCCUUCGGCAGUUGUUGGGCCUGCUUCAGCAGCAGGCAUUUCUUCUGUAGUCAGUAGACCGGAACGCUGCAUUGCUUCGGAGAUGGGCACAGUGUCUGAACCUUCGGCUUCGUCUCCCUCACGUACAACUUUGGCAGUAGAUCGUAUUCUCGCCAUUUGAUUCUAAGUUUGGGAAGUCAAAAACUUUUUCCUUUUUUCUUUUCUCCGAAGCUCUUCUUUCUGACGAAGCGGACGUUGAGAAGCACCUUCGUUCGAUUCUGAGACUUAAGCUUCGGCUAUGGUGAAAAAUUUUGGCAGCGAAACAGUGCAAAUAGCAAUGAAUGCUGUGGUAACUUCACACCCACCUGUUUGUUUAUAUAGUGCUGCAGGUAGGAAGGCGAAGCGGUGGAACUGUUACACCAGGCGCGCAGUAACUCAUACCCGCUGUGCAGUGGACCGCAAAGACCAAACAGUAACUCUACAAAGUGGGCUUGGCACGCGCUCGGAAGUCGGAUCGUUUCUCCGCAACGAGCUCAGGGAAGGUGUUUUUUGGACCUUCGGCUUCCCGAAGCUGAAGAGGUUUUUUUUCACGGGCCAAGCUCGUUACGAAGAACGAUCUAGCACCGCGAAAGGGGCUACUGUUGGGGUCGUGCUUCGGUAUGCCGAAGGUCUCACACGAAGAAGCAGCUUCGGCCAAAGUCGUUUCUAAGAGAUGGCCGAAGGUCCCUUUUCAUGGAGCUUCGGCGUUUUAAACCGACAUAGAGGCAGAAUGACCUUUUUAUACAUGUAUGUCCGAGUCAAUGUUGUAAACUUCCGCAAGGGGCAUAAUUGUAAUUUGUCACAGGCUGCGACCUGUGUCUAUAAAUAGAUGAACAGUACCUCUGUACUGUUCACGCGAACUUGCUUUUGGCCUUCGCAUCACAUUCGUACUUUUUGCCUUCCGCAAGACCGAAGGUACAUUUGUACUUCAAAGUCAUUUAUAUUCAUUAAUACAAGUAGAGAUAAUUCUAUGAUAAUAUUUACAUGUUUAUUUCAUGAUUUAUGUGAAUGCUUUAUUCUUCGUUGUUGUGCUUACGAAGGUAUGUUCUUUGUAACCUUCGUCCGAGAUGCUAUAUAUCCCGAAGGGAUAUAUCGUUAUGAAGGACGAAGGACCUUAAUACUUAACAUUUUCCGUGUUGCCUUGUUCUUAAUUCGAAGCAUUUGAGAACAAGUCCCCAACAGUCACACCCAUUGGGGUCAACUUCAACGCGUACACCACCAUUGGGAUCAACCUCAGGAAGAACCUCUACUGGUACUUCUUCACAAACAGGAACAGAAGGGCUAGCAUCCCGGUCCAAGCAUGAUAGUCGCUGGAGCCGCCUCUUCUUCUUAUUCUUCUCCUCAACAGGCGCAGUCGGACGGCUAACCUAGCGAGAACGUUUUGGGCGAGUACCCUCAGGCUUUCGGGUGUCCACUAUUUUGUUAACCUCUUGUCCAACUGUAACAGCCAUCGGUUCAGCAGGGGCCGAGUUAAAAGAUUCUCCAGCCAACAUAUUGAGUACAACAUCUAUUUCUGCAUCAUCUGGACUUGCCGACAUCUCAAAGUGAACUUGCCUCUCAUCAUUGGGAAGAUCACAAAGAGGAGCAACCAGAGCCUCAAUGUCUACAGGAGAGGGUCGCACUCUAAGACCCAGACCACUAUCACUGGCAGGAGGGUUGGACACGAAAUUGAAAAAUGACCUAGGAGGUGGCAGAUUCCAAGUAGAAUAAGCAACAGGAGCACCAACAUUUGAUACCUUGCCCCUCAGGAUCAUGUCUAGUCGGCUCACUAGAUCCUCAGAAGGAAUUUUCCUGUCGAUAACCCGAGUUGAAUCAGUAAUACCACUGUACAAGUAAGCUGGAUACGCCCUAUCUUUCAAAGGCUGAAUAUUCUUGAAAACGAAGUCAGCAACUACAGCUUCGGCAGUCAGACCUCUUUCCUUCAGCAGACAGAUCUCAGCAAGCAGAACCCUAGCUUCCGUCACCUCCAACAUGAAUUACAGGCUCUGGUGUUCUUCAAAUUGUCGACACAUUUGUCUGUAAUUAAAAAUUCUAAAUUAACUUUUUAGAAAUAAUUUGUGUGACAUUGGUAAUGUUUUCCAUACGGAUUUUGCAUAUUAUAGUGAUGUUUGUCGUUCCGUAUCAAUGUUUCAUACAAAUGUUUUACUUCCGUCGCAACGCACGGGAACAUACCUAUAAUAUAUAUUGUUAUCGUGUUAUUAUACGGUUCCGUUGCAACGCACGGGCACUCACCUAGAUAUGGGACGAUAUGCAAUGAUGUAUAGAUGUGACUGCUUGGGAAAAUCUAUUGAAAAUUCUUGAACAUCCCCCCAAUGGGUGUAACCGAGGGACGACUUGGUACACCGAGCAUUUAGCAUACCAUCCUUGAGUAGUAACUUGAUGUGACCGUGGGGCGUAAUCAUAUCGUCCAAGCAGUUGACCUUAGUCCAAAUGGCGUAACAACUGAGUGGUGCUUGAUGACGUCGGCGUUUUAGAGGUAACGGCCGAGUUACGCUUGGCCCCGUCAGAGUUUUAGAGAUAACUGAGAGAACCUAGAGGGGGGUGAAUAGGUGAUCCUGUAAAACUUGAAACUUAAUGCCACAAAAACUUGAUUAGGAGUUAGCACAAUAAAGUCAAGUGGCUAGAGAGGAAUCCUUGCAAGACACGAUAACCACAAGAAGAUCAAUCACAGAUAGACACAAUGGUUUAUCCCGUGGUUCGGCCAAGUUCAACACUUGCCUACUCCACGUUGUGGCAUCCCAACGGACGAGGGUUGCAAUCAAACCCUCUCAAGCGGUCCAAAGACCCACUUGAAUACCACAGUGUUUUGCUUUGUUUACUUUAUCCUGCUCGCGAGGAAUCUCCACAACUUGGAGCCUCUCGCCCUUACACUUUGAUGUUCACAAAGAAGCACGGAGAAGGGAGGGAUGAGCAACGCACACAAGACACAAAAUCAGAGCGACAAUACGCACACAAGUCACAACACGAGCUCACAACACAACCCAAAGAGUUCUCUACUCAAAUGGAGCUCUAGUUGUUAUCACAAAGAAUCGAAUGCGCGGAAUUGAAGUCUUGGUGCUUAGGAAUGCUUAGAGAAUGCUUGGUGUACUCCUCCAUGCGCCUAGGGGUCCCUUUUAUAGCCCCAAGGCAGCUAGAAGCCGUUGAGAGCAUUCCAGGAAGGCAAUUCUUGCCUUCUGUCGCCUGGCGCACCGGACAGUCCGGUGCACCACCGGAUACUGUCCGGUGCGGAUUUCUUUCCUUCUUUGGCGAAGCCGACCGUUGGCGGUUCAGAGCCGUUGGUGCACCGGACACUGUCCGGUGCACACCGGACAGUCCGGUGCCCACUUCUGACCGUUGGCUCUGCCACGCGUCGCGCGUGGAUUACGCGGCCGACCGUUGGCCCGGCCAACUGUUGGCUCAUCGGACAGUCCGGUGCACACUGAACAGUCCGGUGAAUUAUAGUCGUACGCCGCCGUUGAAGUCCCGAGAGCAGCCAGUUCGCAGAUGCCAGCCUGGCGCACCGGACACUAUCCGGUGCACCACCGGACAGUCCAGUGUACCCAGACUGAGCAGACUUUUGGCUGCUUCGAGCCAAGCUUUUCCAAUUGAAUUUUCUCUGAUUCUUGCACUUAGACAAACAUGUUAGUACACAAAAAACAAUGUACUAAGUCUAGAAUCAUACCUUCAUAUUGAUUUGCACCUUAUCCACAAUUUGGCAUAGUUUAUCACUUAAGCACUUGUGUUGGACACUCAAUCACCAAAAUACUUAGAAAUGGCCCAAGGGCAUAUUUCCCUUUCAAUCUCCCCCUUUUUGAUGAUUUAUGCCAACACAACAAAAAGCAACUAAAAGAAGUGCAACAUCAAUGCAAAUGAAAACUCAAAUUUGUUUUGAUUCAAAUUUGGCAUAUUUGGAUCAUUCUUUGCCACCACUUGGUUUGUUUUUGCAAAUCAGACUCAAUUUCCUAUCUCUAAUUCAAACACACUUGUUGAGACAUAAAGAGAGUUGUUCCAAUAGAAAUUGAUCACUGAUUCAAGAACUCCCCCUAUUUCCCAUAAUCAACCAUUCUUCCCACAAGAGACCAAAUUUUGACAAAAGAGACAAUAAGAGAGUUUUGUCAAACCAAAAGCUCUAUUCUACUAUUUUCAAAAUUCUCAAGUGGUAGCUGAUCCAUUUAUUUCUUUGGCCCUUAAUUUCUCCCCCUUUGGCAUCAAGCACCAAAACGGGAUCAUUUUUGGCCCUUUAACCCCAUUGCCUCACCAAAAUCUUCAACUAAGAGUAAAAAGGCAAUAAGAGUACAAAGAUGAACUUGGAAUCAGUUACUCUUUCAUCGGAGUGCAGUGGAAGUCUUGCAUGGUCCAAGUCCACCUUUUCCCUUUCAAACCUCCUUUGAGACUAAAUUAAGCAAACUCAAGCACACAGUUAGUCUCAAAGGGUCAAGUUGUAGCACAUCUCCCCCUAAAUAUGUGCAUCACUUGCAAAUGGACUUGUUAGGUCCGGGGAGUGCUUGUACAACUUGAGCACCAUAAAUAAACAACAAAAUGCAUUAAGGAACAUGAUCAAGGCAUAAAACACAUGUAUGCUAUAAAUCAAUCCAGGUUCCGCGAAUCUAAGACAUUUAGCUCACUACGCAGCUUGCAAAAGGUCGACUCAUCUAGAGGCUUGGUAAAGAUAUCGGCUAGCUGGUUCUCGGUGCUAACAUAAAACACUUCGAUAUCUCCCUUUUGCUGGUGGUCUCUCAAAAAGUGAUGUCGGAUGUCAAUGUGCUUUGUGCGGCAGUGUUCAACAGAAUUAUCCGCCAUGCGGAUAACACUCUCAUUAUCACAUAGGAGUGGGACUUUGCUCAGAUUGUAGCCAAAGUCCCUGAGGGUUUGCCUCAUCCAAAGUAGUUGCACGCAACACUGUCCUGCGGCAACGUACUCGGCCUCAGUGGUGGAUAGGGCAACGGAAGUUUGUUUCUUAGAACUCCACGACACCAGGGAUCUUCCUAAGAAUUGGCACGUCCUCGUUGUACUCUUCCUAUCGACCUUACAUCCAGCAUAGUCGGAGUCUGAAUAUCCAAUCAAGUCAAAGGUAGACCCCUUUGGAUACCAGAUCCCGAAGCAAGGCGUAGCGACUAAAUAUCUAAGAAUUCGCUUCACGGCCACUAAGUGACAUUCCCUUGGAUCGGAUUGAAAUCUAGCACACAUGCAUACACUAAGCAUAAUAUCCGGUCUACUAGCACAUAAAUAAAGUAAAGACCCUAUCAUAGACCGGUAUGCCUUUUGAUCAACGGACUUACCUCCUUUGUUGAGGUCGGUGUGUCCGUCGGUUCCCAUUGGGGUCUUUGCGGGCUUGGUGAAAGGGAAUUAGGCUUACACCUAUUUUCCUAAUUGAUUUUGGUGGUUGAAUUGCCCAACACAAAUAAUUGGACUAACUAGUUUGCUCUAGUGUAUAAGUUAUACAGGUGCCAAAGGUUCACACUAAGCCAAUAAAAAGACCAAGAAAUGGGUUCAACAAAGAGAGCAAGGGAUAACCGAAGGCUGCCCUGGUCUGGCGCACCGGACAGUGUCCGGUGUGCCACCGGACAGUGUCCGGUGCACCAGGGGACUCCAAGCCAAACUCUUCACCUUUGGGAAUUCUCAGAGGCGCUUCGCUAUAAUUCACCGGACUGUCCGGUGUACCACCGGACAGUGUCCGGUGCUCCAGGGAAGAGCGACUCUGAACUCGCCAGCUUCGGGAAUCUGCUCCGCUAUAAUUCACCGGACAUGUCCGGUGCACACCGGACUGUCUAGUGAGCCAGCGGAGCAACGGCUACUUCGCGCUAACGAUCGACUGCAGGCGCAUUGAAUGCACGCCAGCGCACGCAGAAGUCAGAGCACGCGCGGGUGGCACACCGGACAACCUACAGGGCUUGUCCGGUGCACCACCGGACAGCCAGGCGGGCCCACAAGUCAGAGCUCCAACGGUCGGAACCCAACGACCUGGUGACGUGGCUGGCGCACCGGACUGUCCGGUGCGCCAUGCGACAGCAACCUCCACCAAACGACUAGUUUGGUGGUUGGGGCUAUAAAUACCCCCAACCACCCCACAUUCAAGAAAUCUAAGUUUUCCCACUUCAACUACUUACAAGAGCUCUAGCAUUCAAUUCUAGACACACCCAAGUGAUCAAAUCCUCUCCCAAUUCCACACAACCUCUAGUGAUUAGUGAGAGAGAUUUGCUUGUGUUCUUUCGAGCUCUUGCGCUUAGAUUGCUUUCUUUCUCAUUCUUUCUUGAGAUCAAACUCACUUGUAAUUGAGGCAAGAGACACCAAUCGUGUGGUGGUCCUUAUGGGAACUUUAUGUUCCAAUUGAUUGAGAAGAAAAGCUCACUCGGUCCGAGGGACCGUUUGAGAGAGGGAAAGGGUUGAAAGAGACCCGGUCUUUGUGACCACCUCAACGGGGAGUAGGUUUGCAAGAACCGAACCUCGGUAAAACAAAUCCGCGUGUCACACUCUUUAUUCGCUUGCCAUUUGUUUUGCACCCUCUCUCGCGGACUCAUUUAUAUAUCUAACGCUAACCCGGCUUGUAGUUGUGAUUAAGUUUGUAAAUUUCAGAUUUGCCCCCCCUCUAGGCGACUUUCAAUUGGUAUCAGAGCCCGGUGCUUCAUUAGAGCCUAACCGCUCGAAGUGAUGUCGGGAGAUCACGCCAAGAAGGAGAUGGAGACCGACGACAAGCCCACUACAAGCCACGGGAAAGCUUCAUCGGAAGAGUCCCGCAACAAGGGGAAGGGGAAGGAGAAGAAACCCUUUUCCCACAAGUCGCAUCGGAGUGGGGACAAGAAAAAGAAGAUGAGGAAGGUGGUCUACUACGAGACCGAUACUUCAUCACCUUCCACCUCCGGCUCCGACGCGUCGUCCAUUACUUCUAAGCGCCAUGAGCGCAAGAAGUUUAGUAAGAUUCCCCUAUGCUAUCCUCGCAUUCCUAAACAUACGCCUUUACUUUCCGUCCCAUUAGGCAAACCACCAACGUUUUAUGGUGAAGAUUAUGCUAGGUGGAGUGAUUUAAUGCGAUUUCAUCUAACCUCACUCCACAAAAGUAUAUGGGAUGUCGUUGAGUUUGGUGUACAGGUACCAUCCGUAGGGGAUGAAGAUUAUGAUGAGGACGAAGUGGCCCAAAUCGAGCACUUCAACUCCCAAGCCACAACUAUACUCCUCGCCUCUCUAAGUAGAGAGGAGUACAACAAGGUGCAAGGAUUAAAGAGCGCCAAGGAAGUUUGGGACGUGCUCAAGACCGCGCACGAGGGAGAUGAGCUAACCAAGAUCACCAAGCGGGAGACGAUCGAGGGGGAGCUCGGUCGCUUCCGUCUUCGCCAAGGGGAGGAGCCACAAGACAUGUACAACCGGCUUAAAACCUUGGUGAAUCAAGUGCGCAACCUCGGGAGAAAAAAUGGGAUGACCACGAAAUGGUUAAGGUUAUUCUAAGAUCACUUAUUUUCCUUAACCCUACUCAAGUUCAAUUAAUUUGUGGCAAUCCUAGAUAUACACUAAUGACUCCCGAGGAAGUAAUCAGGAAUUUUGUGAGCUUUGAGUUCAUGAUCAAGGGCUCAAAGAAGAUCAACGAGCUUGACGGACCCUCCACGUCCGAAGCACAACUGGUCGCAUUCAAAGCGACGGAGGAGAAGGAGGAGGAGUCUACAUCAAGUAGACAACCAAUCGACGCCUCAAAGCUCGACAAUGAGGAAAUGGCGCUCGUCAUCAAGAGCUUCCGCCAAAUCCUCAAGCAAAGGAGGGGGAAAGAUUACAAGCCCCGCUCCAAGAAAGUUUGCUACAAAUGUGGUAAGCCCGGUCACUUUAUAGCAAAAUGUCCUAUUUCUAGUGACAGGGGCGACGACAAGAAGGGAGAAGAAAGGAGAAGAAGAAAUACUACAAUAAGAAGGGUGGCGACGCCCAUGUAUGCCGCGAGUGGGACUCGGACGAGAGCUCCUCCGACUCAUGUACUCCGCCAACAUUGCCAUCAACAAGGGCCUUCUCUUCCCCAACGUCGGCCACAAGUGUCUCAUGGCAAAGGACGGCAAAAAGAAGAAGGUUAAAUCCAAAUCCUCCACUAGAUAUGAGUCCUCUAGCGAUGAUAAUGCUAGUGAUGAGGAAGAUAAUUUGCGUACUCUUUUUGCCAACUUAAACAUGCAACAAAAGGAGAAAUUAAAUGAAUUGAUUAGUGCUAUCCAUGAGAAGGAUGAUCUCUUGGACACCCAAGAGGACUUCCUUAUCAAAGAAAACAAAAAGCAUGUUAAAGUAAAAAAUGCUUACGCUCUAGAAGUAGAGAAAUGUGAAAAACUUUCUAGUGAGGUAAGCACUUGCCACGAGACUAUAGACAACCUUAGAAAUGAAAAUGCUAAUUUGUUAGCUAAGGUUGAUUCAAAUGUUUGUGAUGUUUCAAUUCCAAAUCUUAGAAAUGAUAAUGUUGAUUUGCUUGCUAAGAUUGAAGAAUUGAACAUUUCUCUUGCUAGCCUUAGAAAUGAAAAUGAAAAAUUGCUUGCUAAGCCUAAAGAAUUAGAUGUUUGCAAUGCUUCCAUUUCCGACCUUAGAAGUAAAAAUGAUAUAUUACAUGCUAAGGUUGUAGAAUUAAAAUCUUGCAAACCCUCUACAUCUACCGUUGAACAUACUACUAUUUGCACUAGAUGUAGAGAUGUUAAUAUUGAUGAUAUUCAUGAUCACAUGGCUUUAAUUAAACAACAAAAUGAUCAUAUAGCAAAAUUAGAUGCUAAAAUUGUCGAGCAUGACUUAGAAAACGAAAAAUUUAAAUUUGCUAGAAGCAUGCUCUAUAGAGGGAGACGCCCUGACAUUAAGGAUGGCAUUGGCUUCCAACAGGGAGGCAAUGACAAACUUAAUGCCCCUCCUAAGAAAUUGUCCAACUUUGUUAAGGGCAAGGCUCCCAUGCCUCAGGAUAAUGAGGGUUACAUUUUGUACCCUGCCGGUUAUCCCGAGAGCAAAAUUAGGAGAAUUCACUCUAUGAAGUCUCACUCUGGCCCUAACCAUGCUUUUAUGUAUAAGGGUGAGACAUCUAGUUCUAGGCAACCAACCCGUGCUAAGUUGCCUAAGAAGAAAACUCCUAGUGCAUCAAAUGAUCAUGACAUUUCAUUCAAAACUUUUGAUGCAUCAUAUGUGUUGACUAACAAAUCCGGCAAGGUAGUUGCCAAGUAUGUUGGGGGCAAGCACAAGGGGUCAAAAACUUGUGUUUGGGUACCCAAAGUUCUUGUGUCUAAUGCCAAAGGACCCAAAACCAUUUGGGUACCUAAAGUCAAGAACUAAACUUGUUUUGUAGGUUUAUGCAUCCGGGGGCUCAAGCUGGGUAAUCGACAGCGGGUGCACAAACCACAUGACAGGGGAGAAGAAGAUGUUCUCCUCCUACGAGAAAAACCAAGAUCCCCAACGAGCUAUCACAUUCGGGGAUGGAAAUCAAGGUUUGGUCAAAGGAUUGGGUAAAAUUGCUAUAUCUCCCGACCAUUCUAUUUCCAAUGUUUUUCUUGUAGAUUCUUUAGAUUACAAUUUGCUUUCUGUAUCUCAAUUAUGCAAAAUGGGCUACAACUGUCUAUUUACUGAUGUAGGUGUCACUGUCUUUAGAAGAAGUGAUGAUUCAAUAGCAUUUAAGGGAGUGUUAGAGGGUCAGCUAUACUUAGUAAAUUUUGAUAGAGCUGAACUCGACAUUUGCUUAAUUGCUAAGUCUAACAUGGGCUAGCUCUGGCAUCGCCGACUAGCACAUGUUGGGAUGAAGAAUCUUCAUAAGCUUCUAAAGGGAGAGCACAUUUUAGGAUUAACAAAUGUUCAUUUUGAGAAAGACAUGAUUUGUAGCGCAUGCCAAGCAGGGAAGCAAGUUGGUGCUCAUCAUCCACAUAAGAACAUCAUGACGACUGACAAGCCACUGGAGCUCCUACACAUGGAUCUAUUCGGCCCGAUUGCUUACAUAAGCAUCGGCGGGAGUAAGUACUGUCUAGUUAUUGUGGAUGAUUAUUCUCGCUUCACUUGGGAGUUCUUUUUGCAGGAAAAAUCUCAUACCCAAGAUACUUUAAAGGGAUUCUUGAGACGGGCUCAAAACGAGUUCGGCUUAAGGAUCAAGAAAAUAAGAAGCGACAACGGGACGGAGUUCAAGAACUCUCAAAUUGAAGGCUUCCUUGAGGAGGAGGGCAUCAAGCAUGAGUUCUCUUCUCCCUACACGCCACAACAAAAUGGUGUAGUGGAGAGGAAAAAUCAAACUCUAUUGGACAUGGCAAGAACCAUGCUUGAUGAGUACAAGGCUUCGGAUCGGUUUUGGGCCGAGGCGGUCAACACCGCUUGCUAUGCCAUCAACCAGUUAUAUCUACACCGAAUCUUCAAGAAGACAUCAUAUGAACUCCUAACCGAUAAAAAGCCCAAUAUUUCAUAUUUUAGAGUCUUUGGUAGCAAAUGCUUUAUACUUGUUAAAAGAGGAAGAAAAUCUAAAUUUGCUCCUAAGACUGUAGAAGGCUUUUUACUAGGAUAUGAUUCAAACACAAGGGCAUAUAGAGUCUUUAACAAGUCCUUCGGACAAGUUGAAGUUUCUUGUGACGUUGUGUUUGAUGAAACUAACAGCUCUCAAGUAGAGCGAGUUGAUCUUGAUGAGAUAGGUGAUGAAGAGGCUCCGUGCAUCGCGCUAAGGAACAUGUCCAUUGGGGAUGUGUGUCCUAAGGAAUCCGAAGAGCCUCCAAAUGCAAAAGGUCAACCAUCCUCCUCCACGCAAGCAUCUCCACCAACUCAAAAUGAGGAUGAGGCUCAAGUUGAUGAAGAAGAAGAUCAAAGAGAUGAGCCACCUCAAGAUAACGACAAUGAUCAAGGGGGAGAUACAAAUGCUCAAGACAAAGAGGAUGAAGAACCAAGGCCGCCACACCCAAGAGUCCACCAAGCAAUCCAACGAGAUCACCCCGUCGACACCAUCCUCGGCGACAUUCAUAAGGGGGUAACCACUAGAUCUCGUGUUGCACAUUUUUGUGAGCAUUACUCUUUUGUUUCCUCUAUUGAGCCACACAGGGUAGAGGAAGCACUUCAAGAUUCGGAUUGGGUGGUGGCGAUGCAAGAGGAGCUCAACAACUUCACUAGGAAUGAGGUAUGACAUUUGGUUCCACAUCCUAACCAAAAUGUUGUAGGAACCAAAUGGGUGUUCCGCAACAAGCAAGACGAGCAUGUUGUGGUGACAAGGAACAAAGCUCGACUUGUGGCCAAGGGAUACUCCCAAGUCGAAGGUUUGGAUUUCGGUGAAACCUAUGCACCCGUAGCUAGGCUUGAGUCAAUUCGUAUAUUGUUAGCCUAUGCUACUUACCAUGGCUUCAAGCUUUACCAAAUGGACGUGAAGAGUGCCUUCCUCAAUGGAUCGAUCAAGGAAGAGGUCUAUGUUGAGCAACCUCCCGGCUUUGAAGAUAGUGAGUACCCUAACCAUGUUUAUAAACUCUCUAAGGCGCGUUAUGGGCUCAAGCAAGCCCCAAGAGCAUGGUAUGAAUGCCUUAGAGAUUUCCUUAUCACUAAUGGAUUCAAAGUCGGAAAGGCCGGUCCUACACUCUUUACCAAAACACUUGAAAAUGAUUUGUUUGUAUGCCAAAUUUAUGUUGAUGAUAUUAUAUUUGGGUCUACUAACGAAUCUACAUGUGAAGAGUUUAGUAGGAUCAUGACACAAAAAUUCGAGAUGUCGAUGAUGGGGGAGUUGAAAUACUUCUUAGGAUUUCAAGUGAAGCAACUCCAAGAAGGCACCUUCCUAAGCCAAACGAAGUAUACUCAAGAUAUUCUAAGCAAGUUUGGGAUGAAGGAUGCCAAACCCAUCAAGACACCCAUGGGAACAAAUGGGCAUCUCGACCUCGACACGGAAGGUAAAUCCGUAGAUCAAAAGGUAUAUCGGUCGAUGAUAGGCUCUUUACUCUAUUUAUGUGCAUCUCGACCGGAUAUUAUGCUUUCUGUAUGCAUGUGUGCAAGAUUCCAAGCCGACCCUAAGGAAGCUCACCUUACGGCUGUAAAACGAAUCUUGAGAUAUUUAGUUUAUACUCCUAAGUUUGGGCUUUGGUAUCCUAGGGGAUCCACAUUCGAUUUGAUUGGUUAUUCGGAUGCCGAUUGAGCAGGGUGUAAAAUCAAUAGAAAGAGCACAUCGGGGACUUGCCAGUUCUUGGGAAGAUCCUUGGUGUCUUGGGCUUCAAAGAAGAAAAAUUCUGUAGCUCUUUCUACCGCCGAAGCGGAGUACAUUGUCGCAGGCCAUUGUUGCGCGCAACUACUUUGGAUGAGGCAAACCCUUAGGGACUACGGUUACAAAUUAACCAAAGUUCCUCUUCUAUGUGAUAAUGAGAGUGCAAUCCGCAUGGCGGAUAAUCUCGUUGAGCAUAGCCGCACUAAACACAUAGCCAUUCGGUAUCAUUUCUUAAGGGAUCACCAACAAAAGGGAGAUAUCGAGAUUGCAUACAUUAACACUAAAGAUCAAUUAGCCGAUAUCUUUACCAAGCCACUAGAUGAACAAACUUUUAACAAACUUAGGCAUGAGCUAAAUAUUCUUGAUUCUAGGAAUUUCUUUUGAUGUCUUGCACAUAUAGCUCAUAAGUAUACCUUUGAUCAUGUCUCUUUUAUAUAUGCCAUGACUAAUGUAUUUUCAAGUGAAUUUCAAACCAAGUCAUAGGUAUAUUGAAAGGGAAUUGGAGUCUUCGGCGAAGACAAAGGCUUCCACUCCGUAACUCAUCCUUCGUCGUCGCUCCGAGCAACUCUCCAACUUUGGUAUAAUCUUCACUCUUAUGUCUUUUACCAAAGGGGGAGAAAGUAAUAAAAAGGGCUCUAAUAAUUCUGUUUUUGGCGAUUUAUGCCAAAGGGGGAGAGAGCAUGAGCCCAAAGCAAAAGGACCGCACCACCACCUAAUUUUAAAAACUCAUGAUUUUCAAUUGGUAAAUUUCAAAUUGGUAUCUUAUUGUGUUCAAAAGGGGGAGAAAGUAGUAUUCUCAAAAUCGAUAUCUUAAAACCCUCUUGAACACUAAGAGGAGAUUUCGUUGAGGGGGAAUUUUGUUUAGUCAAAGGAAAAGCAUUUGAAACAGGGAGAGAAAAUUUCAAAUCUUGAAAACGCUUCGCAAAAUCUUAUUCAUUUACCUUUGACUAUUUGCAAAAGAACUUUGAAAAGGAUUUACAAAAGAAUGUGCAAAAACAAAACAUGUGGUGCAAGCGUGGUCCAAAAUGUCAAAAAUUAAAGAAACAAUCCAUGCAUAUCUUAUAAGUAUUUACAUUGGCUCAAUUCCAAGUAACCUUUGCACUUACAUUAUGCAAACUAGUUCAAUUAUGCACUUCUAUACUUGCUUUGGUUUGUUUUGGCAUCAAUCACCAAAAAGGGGGAGAUUGAAAGGGAAUUAGGCUUACACCUAUUUUCCUAAUUGAUUUUGGUGGUUGAAUUGCCCAACACAAAUAAUUGGACUAACUAGUUUGCUCUAGUAUAUAAGUUAUACAGGUGCCAAAGGUUCACACUAAGCCAAUAAAAAGACCAAGAAAUGGGUUCAACAAAGAGAGCAAGGGAUAACCGAAGGCUGCCCUGGUCUGGCGCACCGGACUGUCCGGUGCACCAGGGGACUCCAAGCCAAACUCUUCACCUUCGGGAAUUCUCAGAGGCGCUUCGCUAUAAUUCACCGGACAGUGUCCGGUGCUCCAGGGAAGAGCGACUCUGAACUCGCCAGCUUCGGGAAUCCACUCCGCUAUAAUUCACCGGACAUGUCUGGUGCACACCGGACUGUCCGGUGAGCCAGCGGAGCAACGGCUACUUCGCGCCAACGGUCGACUGCAGGCGCAUUGAAUGCGCGCCAGCGCGCGCAGAAGUUAGAGCACGCGCGGGUGGCACACCGGACAGCCUACAGGGCUUGUCCGGUGCACCACCGGAUAGCCAGGCGGGCCCACAAGUCAGAGCUCCAACGGUCGGAACCCAACGGCCUGGUGACGUGGCUGGCGCACCGGACAAUGUCCGGUGGCGCACCGGACUGUCCGGUGCGCCAUGCGACAGCAGCCUCCACCAAACGACUAGUUUGGUGGUUGGGGCUAUAAAUACCCCCAACCACCCCACAUUCAAGAAAUCCAAGUUUUCCCACUUUAACUACUUACAAGAGCUCUAGCAUUUAAUUCUAGACACAUCCAAGUGAUCAAAUCCUCUCCCAAUUCCACACAACCUCUAGUGAUUAGUGAGAGAGAUUUGCUUGUGUUCUUUCGAGCUCUUACGCUUGGAUUCCUUUCUUUCUCAUUCUUUCUUAAGAUCAAACUCACUUGUAAUUGAGGCAAGAGACACGAAUCGUGUGGUGGUCCUUGUGGGAACUUUGUGUUCCAAUUGAUUGAGAAGAAAAGCUCACUCGGUCCGAGGGACCGUUUGAGAGAGGGAAAGGGUUGAAAGAGACCCGGUCUUUGUGACCACCUCAACGGGGAGUAGGUUUCCAAGAACCGAACCUCGGUAAAACAAAUCUGCGUGCCACACUCUUUAUUCGCUUGCCAUUUGUUUUGCACCCUCUCUCGCGGACUCAUUUAUAUAUCUAACGCUAACCCGGCUUGUAGUUGUGAUUAAGUUUGUAAAUUUCAGAUUCGCCCUAUUCACCCCCCCUCUAGGCGACUUUCACUUGGCAUCCUUCAUCCCAAACCGCUUGAUCAAGUCUUGCGUGUACUUCGUUUGGGAGAUGAAGGUCCCAUCCUUGAGUUGCUUCACUUGGAACCCAAGGAAAUAGCUUAACUCGCCCAUCAUCGACAUCUCAAACUUUUGAGUCAUCACCCUGCUAAACUCUUCACAAGACUUUUGGUUAGUAGAACCAAAUAUUAUGUCAUCGACAUAAAUUUGGCACACAAAAAGAUCACCAUCACAAGUCUUAGUAAAAAGAGUUGGAUCGGCUUUCCCAACCUUGAAAGCAUUAGCAAUUAAAAAGUCUCUAAGGCAUUCAUACCAUGCUCUUGGGGCUUGCUUAAGUCCAUAGAGCGCCUUAGAGAACUUACACAUGUGGUCGGGGUACCGUUCAUCCUCGAAGCCAGGGGGUUGCUCCACGUACACCUCCUCCUUGAUUGGUCCGUUGAGGAAAGCGCUCUUCACAUCCAUUUGGAACAACCUGAAAGAAUGGUGAGUAGCAUAGGCUAACAAUAUGCGAAUUGACUCUAGCCUAGCCACAGGAGCAAAAGUCUCCUCAAAGUCCAAACCUGCGACUUGGGCAUAACCUUUUGCCACAAGUCGUGCCUUGUUCCUUGUCACCACCCCGUGCUCGUCUUGUUUGUUGCAGAACACCCACUUGGUUCCCACAAUGUUUUGCUUGGGACGAGGCACCAGUGUCCAAACUUCAUUUCUCUUGAAGUUGUUGAGCUCUUCCUGCAUGGCCAACACCCAGUCCGGAUCUAGCAAGGCCUCUUCUACCCUGAAAGGCUCAAUAGAAGAGACAAAAGAGUAAUGCUCACAAAAAUUAACUAAUCUUGAACGAGUAGUUACUCCCUUGCUUAUGUCACCCGAUAUUUGGUCGACGGGAUGAUUCCUUUGAAUCGUCGCUCGAACUUGGGUUGGAGGUGCCGGUUGCACUUCUUCCUCUAUCACAUGAACAUCUUGUGUUCUCCCUUGAUCACACGCCUCUUCUUGAUGAACCUGUUCAUCGUCUUGAGUUAAGGGAUGCACCAUUGUUGAGGAAGAAGGUUGAUCUUGCUCCUUUUGUUCCUGUGGUUGUACAUCACCAAUCGCCAUGGUACGUAUUGCGGCCGUCAGAACAUCUUCAUCUACAUCAUCAAGAUCAACAACUUGCUCUCUUGGAGAGCCAUUAGUCUCAUCAAAUACAACGUCGCUAGAGACUUCAACCAAACCCGAUGAUUUGUUGAAGACCCUAUACGCCUUUGUAUUUGAGUCAUAACCUAACAAAAACCCCUCUACAACUUUGGGAGCAAACUUAGAAUUCCUACCUUUCUUCACUAGAAUGUAACAUUUGCUCCCAAAUACACGAAAGUAAGACACAUUGGGUUUGUUACCGGUUAGAAGCUCAUAUGAAGUCUUCUUGAGGAGGCGAUGAAGGUAGACCCGGUUUAUGGCGUGGCAAGCCGUGCUCACGGCUUCCGUCCAAAACCGUUCGGACGUCUUGAAUUCACCAAGCAUCGUCCUCGCCAUGUCUAGUAGUGUCCUGUUCUUCCUCUCUACCACACCAUUUUGUUGUGGUGUGUAGGGAGCGGAGAACUCGUGCUUGAUUCCUUCCUCCUCAAGAUACUCCUCCACUUGAAGGUACUUGAACUCGGACCCAUUGUCGCUUCUUAUCUUCUUCACCUUGAGCUCAAACUCAUUUUGAGCUCUCCUUAGGAAGCGUUUGAGGGUCCCUUGGGUUUCAGAUUUAUCCUGCAAAAAGAAUACCCAAGUGAAGCGGGAAAAAUCAUCAACUAUAACAAGACCAUACUUACUUCCUCCUAUACUUAGAUAGGCGACGGGUCCGAAGAGGUCCAUAUGAAGUAACUCCAGGGGUCUUGAUGUUGUCAUCACAUUUUUGGCAUGAUGAGAGCUCCCCACCUGUUUACCUGCUUGACAAGCUGCACAAGGUCUAUCUUUUUCGAAAGUUACAUUAGUUAGACCUAUCAUGUGUUCUCCCUUUAGAAGCUUGUGAAGGUUCUUCAUCCCCACAUGUGCUAAACGGCGAUGCCACAGCCAGCCCAUGCUAGUCUUAGCAAUUAAGCAUGCAUCUAGACCGGCCUCCUCUUUUGCAAAAUCAACUAAAUAAAGUUUGUCGUCUAGUGCACCCUUAAAGGCUAAUGAACCAUCACUUCUUCUAAAGACAGACACAUCUACAUUUGUGAAUAAACAGUUAUAUCCCAUAUUACAAAGUUGACUUACAGACAACAAGUUAUAUCCAAGCGACUCAACUAAGAACACAUUAGAAAUAGAGUGCUCGGAUGAAAUAGCAAUUUUUCCUAACCCUUUCACCUUGCCUUGGUUCCCAUCACCGAAUAUGAUUGAAUCUUGGGGAUCCUUGUUCUUGACGUAGGAAGAGAACAUCCUCUUUUCCCCCGUCAUGUGGUUUGUGCAUCCGCUGUCGAUAAUCCAGCUUGAGCCCCCGGAUGCAUAAAUCUGCAAGGCAAAUUUAGGCUUGGGUCUUAGGUACCCAACUCAUGUUGGGUCCUACAAGGUUAGUUACAAUAGUCUUAGGGACCCAAAUGCAAGUCUUGUCUCCCUUACAUUUGGCCCCUAAUUUCCUAGCAAUUACCUUCUUAUCCUUUCUACAAAUAGCAAAGGAAGCAUUGCAAGCAUAAAAAAUUGUAGAAUGUUCAUUCAUUACUUUCCUAGGAACAUGAACACUAUUUCUUCUAGGCAUAUGAUGAACGGCAUUUUUCCUAGCCAAACUUCUACCAUACAUCAUAGAAGAACUAGAAGCAAUCAUGGCAUGAGAAUCAAAAGCAUCAUAACUUCUAUAAACAUUCCUAGAAUGUCUCCUAUCAUGAUACAUGAAAGCAUGGUUCUUUUGAGCACUACUAGCCAUAGGGGCCUUCCCUUUCUCCUUAGCGGAGAUGGAAGCCUUAUGACUUGUUAAGUUCUUGACUUCCCUCUUGAAGCCAAGACCAUCCUUAAUUGAGGGGUGUCUACCAGUCAUGUAGGCAUCCCUUGCAAAUUUUAGUUUCUCAAAUUCACUCUUGCUAGUCUUAAGUUGGGCAUUAAGACUAGCCACUUCAUCAUUCAAAUUAGAAAUUGAAACUAGAUGUUCACUAGAAGCAUCAACAUUAAAAUCUUUGCACCUAUUGCAAAUUGCAACAUGUUCUACACAAGAUGUUGAUUUAUUAGCUAUUUCUAUCUUAGCAUUCAAAUCAUCAUUUAUGCUCUUUAAGCUAGAAAUAGAGUCAUGACAUGUAGACAAUUCACAAGAAAGCAUUUCAUUCCUUUUAAUUUCUAAAGCAAGGGAUUUUUGUGCCUCUACAAACUUAUCAUGUUCUUCAUACAAAAGAUCCUCUUGUUUUUUAAUAACCUAUUUUUAUCAUUCAAGGCAUCAAUUAAUUCAUUAAUCUUAUCAACCUUAGUUCUAUCUAGGCCCUUGAAUAAACAUGAAUAGUCUAUUUCAUCAUCACUAGAUUCUUCAUCACUUGAGGAAGCGUAAGUACUAGUAUUAUGAGUGCUUACCUUCUUUUCCCUUGCCAUGAGGCAGGUGUGAUGCUCGUUGGGGAAGAGGGCCGACUUGUUGAAGGCGAUGGCGGCGAGUCCUUCAUUGUCGGAGUCGGACGACGAACAAUCCGAGUCCCACUCCUUUCCAAGGUGUGCCUCGCCCUUAGCCUUCUUGUAAGCCUUCUUCUUUUCCCUCUUGUUCCCUUGUUCCUGGUCACUAUCAUUAUCGGGACAAUUAGCGAUAAAAUGACCAAUCUUACCACAUUUGAAGCAUGAGCGCUUCCCCUUCGUCUUGGUCUUGUUGGGAUGCUCCUUGCGACCCCUUAGCGCUGUCUUGAAACGCUUGAUGAUGAGGGCCAUUUCUUCAUUAUUAAGCCCGGCCGCCUCAACUUGUGCCACCUUGCUAGGUAGCGCCUCCUUGUUCCUCGUUGCUUUGAGAGCAAUGGUUUGAGGCUCUUGGAUUGGGCCAUUCAACGCAUCAUCAACGUAUCUAGCCUCCUUGAUCAUCAUCCGCCCGCUUACGAACUUUCCAAGUAUCUCCUCGGGCGUCAUCUUGGUGUACCUAGGAUUCUCACAAAUGUUGUUCACAAGAUGUGGAUCAAGGACCGUAAAAGACCUUAGCAUUAGGCGGACGACGUCGUGGUCCGUCCAUCGCGUGCUUCCAUAGCUCCUUAUUUUGUUGACGAGGGUCUUGAGCCGGUUGUACGUUUGGGUUGGCUCCUCGCCCCUGAUCAUUGCGAAUCUCCCAAGUUCGCCCUCCACCAACUCCAUCUUGGUGAGCAUGGUGACGUUGUUCCCCUCAUGUGAGAUUUUGAGGGUGUCCCAAAUCUGCUUGGCGUUAUCCAAGCCGCUCACUUUAUGGUAUUCAUCCCUGCACAAUGAAGCUAGAAGAACAGUAGUAGCUUGUGCAUUUUUGUGAAUUUGCUUAUUAAUGAACAUGGGACUAUCCGUACUAUCAAAGUGCAUUCCAUUUUCUACUAUCUCCCAUAUACUUGGAUGGAGAGAGAACAAGUGGCUACGCAUUUUGUGACUCCAAAAUCUGUAGUCCUCUCCAUCAAAGUGGGGAGGUUUACCGAGGGGAAUGGAAAGCAAAUGAGCAUUGGAACUUUGCGGAAUACGAGAAUAAUCAAAGGAAAAGUUUGAAUUAACUGUCUUCUUUUUCUCGUAGUCGUUGUCGUCGUCCUUUUGGGAAGCGGAAGAUUCGUCGCUGUCGUAGUAGACUAUCUCCUUGAUGCGCCUUGUUUUCUUCUUCCUCCCGUCUUUUCUUUUGUGGCCCGAGCCUGAGUAAGUAGGCUUGUCAUCCUUUGGAUCAUUUACGAAGGACUCCUUCUCCUUAUCAUUGACAACCAUCCCCUUGCCCUUAGGAUCCAUCUCUUCGGGCGAUUAGUCCCUUUCUUGAAGAGAACGGCUCCGAUACCAAUUGAGAGCACCUAGAGGGGGGUGAAUAGGUGAUCCUGUAAAACUUGAAACUUAAUGCCACAAAAACUUGAUUAGGAGUUAGCACAAUAAAGCCAAGUGGCUAGAGAGGAAUCCUUGCAAGACACGAUAAGCACAAGAAGAUCAAUCACAGAUAGACACAGUGGUUUAUCCCGUGGUUCGGCCAAGUUCAACACUUGCCUACUCCACGUUGUGGCGUCCCAACAGACGAGGGUUGCAAUCAACCCCUCUCAAGCGGUCCAAAGACCCACUUGAAUAUCAUGGUGUUUUGCUUUGUUUACUUUAUCCCGCUCGCGAGGAAUCUCCACAACUUGGAGCCUCUCGCCCUUACACUUUGAUGUUCACAAAGAAGCACGGAGUAAGGGAGGGAUGAGCAACGCACACAAGACACAAAAUCAGAGCGACAAUACGAACACAAGUCACAACACGAGCUCACAACACAACCCAAAGAGUUCUCUACUCAAAUGGAGCUCUAGUUGCUAUCACAAAGAAUCGAAUGCGCGGAAUUAAAGUAUUGGUGCUUAGGAAUGCUUAGAGAAUGCUUGGUGUACUCCUCCAUGCGCCUAGGGGUCCCUUUUAUAACCCCAAGGCAGCUAGGAGCCGUUGAGAGCAUUCCAGGAAGGCAAUUCUUGCCUUCUGUCGCCUGGCGCACCGGACAGUCCGGUGCACCAACGGACACUGUCCGGUGCGGAUUUCUUUCCUUCUUUGGCGAAGCCGACCGUUGGCGCACCGGACACUGUCCGGUGCACAUCGGACAGUCCGGUGCCCACUUCUGACUGUUGGCUCUGCCACGCGUCGCGCGUGGAUUACGCGGCCGAUCGUUGGCCCGGCCAACUGUUGGCUCACUGGACAGUCCGGUGCACACCGGACAGUCCGGUGAAUUAUAGUCGUACGCCGCCGUUGAAGUCCCGAGAGCAGCCAGUUCGCAGAUGCCAGCCUGGCGCACCGGACACUGUCCGGUGCACCACCAGACAGUCCGAUGUACCCAGACUGAGCAGACUUUUGGCUGCUUCGAGCCAAGCUUUUCCAAUUGAAUUUUCUCUGAUUCUAGCACUUAGACAAACAUGUUAGUACACAAAAACCAACGUACUAAGUCUAGAAUCAUACCUUCAUAUUGAUUUGCACCUUAUCCACUAUUUGGCAUAGUUUAUCACUUAAGCACUUGUGUUGGACACUCAUCACAAAAAUACUUAGAAAUGGCCCAAGGGCAUAUUUCCCUUUCAAUAACAACCGAGUUAUGGCAAACACUGUCGGUGUUUUAGAGGUAACUAUCGAGUUAGGACAGACACUGUCGGCGUUUUAGAGGCAACAACUGAGUGGUGCUUGAUGACGUCGGCGUUUUAGAGGUAACGACCGAGUUAUGUCGGAAAUCUCUUUUUCCCGAGUGAUGACUUGGCAUUUUUUUAGAAAUGGUGCCCAACCCGGGAAAAUCCCAUUUAUAUCACAUCGCUGCACGCUUCUGAGUUCUGAGCCCUAACUUCACAUUUUUGCCUCAAACCACUUAUUUGUUUCCCUCUGAUUUCGCCCUUGUUCAACCCGCCGGUGAGAUUCCGAUGGCGCCCAAGCGGAAGAACCAGAAUUCUGCUAUGGUGGUCAUUCCUCCUCUCGAUCCCAACAGUCAGUUGUCGUUUGCAGGUAACCACAUGCCUGUUGUGUCGAAAUCGGACCUCCUCCACCUUGUUGAUGUUGGAGUUCUUCCUCCAAAAGAGCUCUGCUCUUAGCGGAUUUGCCGUGGGGUCAUUGUUCUGACAGAAGAUACCCACGAAUCUGUUGUCUACGUUCCUUUUCUCAUCUGCGGUCUUGCUCUUCCCAUCUCUCCCUUCUUCUGUGGCAUCAUCGAUUUUUACAAUCUAAACCUGACUCACCUGAAUCCCAAUUCCAUCUUGCAAAUUUCUAUCUUUGUACAUUUGUGUGAGGCCUACCUCGGAAUUCUCCUCAUUUCGGAUUAUGAAAGUAUUUGUAUCACUAUCGGCCUGGGAUGGCUGGGGGCAGCACCAGCUCGUUGGUGGUGCAAGUCUGGAGAUGCGCCGUGGGAGGAAGACAGAAUACCUUGACAUUCCUUUCAAGGACAACAUUAAAGGAUGGCGCCUUGAAUGGUUUAUUGUGGAAAACCACGGCAAGUCCCUCCCCCCUUGGUCGGGGAGACAGCCAGAUGUACGCACUCUAAGUUGGGUUGAGUCUCCUACUGCCUUGGAGGUGACGGGAGCUAGGGUUCUGCUUGCUGAGAUCUGUCUGCUGAAGGAAAGAUGUCUGACUGCCAAAGCUGUAGUUGCUGACUUCGUUUUCAAGAAUAUUCAGCCUCUAAAAGAUAGGGCGUAUCCAGCUUACUUGUACAGUGGUAUUACUGAUUCAACUCGGGUUACCGACAGGAAAAUUCCUACUGAGGAUCUACUGAGCCGACUAGACAUGAUCCUGAGGGGCAAGGUAUCAAAUGUUGGUGCUCCUGUUGCUUAUUCUGCUUGGAAUCUACCACCUCCUAGGUCAUUUUUCAAUUUCAUGUCCAACCCUCCUGUCAGUGAUAGUGGUCUGGGUCUUAGAGUGCGACCCUCUCCUGAAGACAUUGAGGCUCUGGUUGCUCCUCUUCGUGAUCUUCCCAAUGAUGAGAGGCAAGUUCACUUUGAGAUGCCAGCAAGUCCGGAUGAUGCAGAAAUAGAUGUUGUACUCAAUAUGUUGGUUGGAGAAUCUUCUGACUCGGCCCCUGCUGAACCGAUGGCUGUUACGGUUGGACAAGAGGUUAACAAAAUAGUGGACACCCGAAAGCCUGAGGGUACUCGCCCAAAACGUUCUCGCCAGGUUAGCCGUUCGACUGCGCCUAUUGAGGAGAAGAAGAAGAAGAGGUGGCUCCAGCGACUAUCAUGCUUGGACCGGGAUGCUGGCCCUUCUGUUCCUGUUUGUGAAGAAGUACCAGCAGAGGUUCUUCCUGAGGUUGAUCCCAAUGGUGGUGUACGCGUUGAAGUUGACCCCAAUGGGUGUGACCAUGCACCAGCUGUCCUCAAUGUGUGUGACCUUGUUGAAGCUGAACCCAAUGGGUGUAACCGUGCAGAAGCUGAACCCAAUGGGUGUGUCCGUGCACCGGCUAUUGUUCGUAUUUUUGAUGAGGACGAAGAAGAGGAAGAAGAAGUUCCGCUAAUUCGUAAGAAUAGCCGGCGUUACAGAGGUAGUAGGGGGAUAGUGAUAUUCCUUCUCCGGCUCUGUCUGCUCUUGUCAGCCUUCAAGAGUUGUCCAUAGCAGAUUUUGAUCGGGCCCUUGAGGAUGUCGUUCCUGAAGAUAUGCUGUCGGAGCCGACUGUUGGCGAUAUGAUGGAUGUUUGCUCUGGAAUUCCAGACGUGGGAUUAGAGGUAUCCCGAGCAGUGUCUCGCACAUCGUCGACAUUGGAAGGCAGUCUUCGAUGUCAAGAAGUUGGUCAGGAUUGUCCGACUCCCAUGGAGGUGACUGAGGAUCCUUCAGCCUUAGAGGUGGCUGUUGAAGAAAACCCAGCCCCCCGAGGGUGAUGCUGGCAGUUACCCAGCCCCGAGGGUGUCGCCGGUAGUGAUCCGGCUCUAGUGGGUAGCGCGAGCUGCAACCCAGCCCCGAGGGUAUUGCCGGUAAUGAUCCAGCUCUGGUGGGUGGCGCAAGCUACAACCCAGCCCCCGAGGGUGUCCAAGUGAGCUCUACUUCCCACACCUCCAUGGAUGUCCAUGUCGGGUCGUCUCCACCACGAUCUGAUAAAGUGAUGGUGAUGCAUGCUUCUUUAACUUCGAGCGAGCGAGUCGCCUAGGAGGUCGGCGAGCCAGAUGCAAGAAUUCUGAUAUCUGCUAGUGGGGUUGAGUCAACCCCUGACAAUGUUCUUCAAAUUGUUUCAGUUGAUCUUCCUUCAUCGAGCUACAACGCAGCUUCUCAUGGCAACGCACGGGCACACACUUUCAGAGCAUCCACUACCUAAAAUCAAAACCGCAAGCUGGACCAAGAAUCUUUGGGCCGAUUAUUUCAAAACCAACUCAAAGAUUGGGGGCUUGUGGGGGACAGAUAUCCCCCGGGUCCACUAGAAGGCUAGAAAGCCUCGCAAAAGGCUUUGGGCCCAUUACUUCGCAAGGUAUCCCUUCGUGGGCUAGGGGAGGAACCACCGGCGGAAUGGACUGACACGAGAUUGGAUAGACUCGAGCCCAGACGAUUCGACGGGUUUAAGCAUUAUCCACAGCAUUGAUCCGAUUCUCCCGCGCAGCACCUUCAGACGUCGGAACUAAAUAAGGAUAAGUCGGCAGGAUUAUAGGAAGAUAAGUUCAGUCGGUUCACUAUUAUUUAGGUGCACAUUGUUAUCAUACUUGUAUGUAUCGCCCCACGGUCGAGUAUAUAAGGCCUAGGGGGCACCCCAUCAAAAGACAGGUCAUUCAUCAGCCAUCUACUUCAUUCUCUAGCACUCUCCAAACUAGAGAGUUCCCCUGUAACCCACCACAUAAAGAUCCACACCAGGAAGUAGGGUGUUACGCCUCUCUAAGCGGCUCGAACCUGUAGAAAAUUGUCUAUCGUCUCUCGUGCACCUAGCACGAACCAUCGAGCUACAGCCAGCAACACCGUCCUACCCAAAAGCACCUCGAGGGGUAACCCCGGGUGCACGGUCGGGUCCCAAACACCGACAUAUAUGCUAUUUUGUAAACAUGAGUAAAAAUUUGUAAAUAGUUUAUAUUGACUAAUUAUUGAUAAUAGUUGUCUUCAGAUAUUCUGCAUCGUGCCCCUGACAUAGUAGUUGAUGGCCUGCUGCAGGGGUAGGCCCUUGUACGCCAUGAUAGUGGCCAUGUCCCACUUGAGCGUGCAUGACACGACACACGCGCCACAUGUGUAUGUGCCGAACCUGAUCAGUGGUGAAUCCCCAAUGCGCCCGAGCAUCUUGCUCAUCAACCGUCUGUGGACAUGGCCGCCGCACACCCCAACGUCUCUGAUGCGUACACACUGAUGGGCAACCCGUUCAUCACCAUGCCCGCCUUGUGUACGUUAUCGCUGUCCACGCUGUUCGCGCUACACUUGUCCAUUCGCGCUGCACUUGUCUAUCCCCAUCGGUGGGAUGAGGUAGUCGAACUGCGCGAGCGCGAAAAGUAGGAAAAAAGAACAACCAUUGUUAGUUCACUGUUGAAACGAUUCUUCUUUUUUGGUAAGCAUACAACCGAGACAAGAAAUAAAAAUAGUGAUGUAUGAAACGGGUGAACAAGAAGAAACCAGGAUGUUGCCGCCUGCUGGCCUCCUUGGCGAGCUUGAGCAUGCUGAAGGUAGUCCAACCACACGAGGGCAAACAGAAGGAAAAAAGAACCAUGGUUAGUUCUUUGUUGGAUCAAUUCUUCGUUUUUUUGGUAAACAUGAAACUAAGAUAAGAAAUAAAUGGAAUAAUGUAUGAGACGGGUGAACAAGAACGAACCAUGAUUUAAUAAAAUAAUUAGUUGCCCCUGUGUUACUACGUUUCAAUAUUCACAAUACUUAUAAUAUCUAUCAUUUAUAGAACACACACAAAUAUGAGCUCUUACGAUUUCAGGAUCACUCAAGUCUCCCAAGUGUACACCGGAGAAGUUUGAGAAAAGUCCCGAUGAUGAAGGUGGAGAGACCUCGUAGAUUAUGCAGUACAAUAACAUUGGUGGGACAAACUCCAUCAACGUAAUCAAGCUUCAUGAAACACAAGAAGAAAAGGAAAAUUAAGUUAGUGUAGUUUUAUUUUGCAAUUUGUACAACAACAACCAUCUUAAAAAGCCUUUCUCAAUAAAACUGUGGGUGGUACCGUCUUACCAACAAUGGUGCCAAAUGUAAUCAGCAAGAACACAUAAAGUAAUGAUAUGUGAAGGAAGUAGCAAUAGAAUAUAUAUAUAUAUAUAUAUAUAUAUAUAUAUAUAUAUAUAUAUAUAGGGCUUCCUGUAGUUAAAUAGAGCCCAGGGCUCUAAAUAAUAUAUAUAUAUAUAUAUAUAUAUAUAUAUAUAUAUAUAUAUAUAUAUAUAUAUAUAUAUAUAUAUAUAUAUAUAUAUAUAUAUAUGGAAACAGCUCGGCCCGUUCGGCAGCAUAGGAACAUUUCCAAGCUAAGAACUGUUUCAGGCCUGGAUUUAGUGCAUCCAGCUCUUUCGCUCUUUCUAGUCCAGAAUUAAUCUAAUUGGAACACUUUUGCCUAAAAACACUUCUUCUCCUUGCUCGACAGUCUAGGAUUGGAAAAGGUUGUUUGAUAAAAAUAUGAGUUAUAGGCUUACAACUUCAGACUUGUGAUAGCCAAACCUGAAUCAACCAAAAGCAUGUAUGAACAAAUGCAAAGAACCAUCUUGUUAACGAACUUACAAACACAAAGAAUAAUCAACCAAAGGCAUGUCUUACUGCUGCUUUAUAAGCUUUCUCAAAUUACAGUCUUGCUACCAAAAUAAGAACCAUACACUGUAUACAACAAGAAGUUCUAGUAAAUGGUAGAGUAGUAGUAGUCAAAACUGACCGAUUGCACUGAUUCAAACACUACUCUGGAUACCUGCAGAGUAAAGUAGGCACUGCUAGUAUAGUAGUAGCUGUCAUUCUUCCCUAACCUUAUAGUCAAGCCCUCUCUGCAGAUUAUUUAGAUAACACAAUAUUUAUCACUCAAUUGGUAACCAUCGGUGUGUAUAACACAAUAUUUACCAAAAUAAGAACCAACGUCGCUGGUAUGGGGCCGGUGAGGCCGGGGUUGGACUUGAGCACGAUCUGCUCGAGCGAGGACAACGACGUGAACAGCGCGGGCGACGCCAAAGCAGCCGAAGAUGGAGAGCGUCCAGAGGUGCGGCAGGCCGCGCAGCGAGGCGGGGUCGAGCCUGGUCCCGGGCCUACAGGGUGGGGUGGCGACGUUGGGGUCCAGGUGGAGGCGGGUGGCGUGGAGCACGCGCGCGUCGUCGGGCGCGAGCUCGCACUGCAGGCCCGGCCACGGCGUGUCGGUGUAGGGCCACGGGUGGAGCUGCAGCCACGCCGGGUCGCCGAGGAUGUCCGCCAUCACCCGGAAGAUGGCCGCCAGCUCCGCCCCCAGCAGCUUCGGCGUCGGCGCGUCCCCUCCGAGGAUUGCGGGUAACGGGGAUCGCAACUGGGAGGGUGAGGAGGACGCGAUGGGGAGCGGAGCAGAGGGGGGAUGUCGGGGGUGUGGAGGGAGGGGGGCAGAACCGUGCAUAAUCUUAAGUAGUAGUAGGGAUUUUUGACGAGUCAAGUUUGAAAUAGCAGAUAGAAUAAGUAACGUUUUUGAGAUAGGAUAGUUAACCGCAAGUCUUUGUGCGUAGAAUAUAGGUGGAAUUUAACAGCCUUCAAACUCUGUUCUGGUUCGUUCCUUCAGAAACUUUAUGCGUACGGAUACGUCUGCUUUCUUGUGCACCUUCAACAGUCGCAGGUCCGUCGAGAAUAAGUCUGUUCACUUCAUAUUAAAACUAACUAUUUAAACUGCUGCGGAUACAAUCUAUAAAGAUAAAAUAUUAUAAAAGUAUUAGAAACCGGUAUAGAUUAAAUCAAACUACCAUGCUGUAAAUUCGUACAGAUUUUACAAUCGUGCUGAACCCUGUGCUAGGGGCUGCAUACUAGCGCUACUUUCAGGGCGGGGAUUAUUGUUCCAAUUCGUGAAUUGGUAAUUUCUGAAUCUAAAUAAAAUCUCAAUUAUAAUAUGGUCCUUAGAAAUCAGAUUCUUCAACAUUUUCAAUCAAAAUAUCCAGAACCUUCACUAUACGAAUUAGCAUGCGAAGGUUGAAGAGAGAGGCGGUGCAAUAAUAAUGGAAAACCCUCCAUACUUGGUGGGCCUGAAAGAACGCAAGGCCAAUGGCCACAUGCGAGUAGCCAAUGGCCCCAAGGCCGAAAUGGCAGCCACUGCAACGAACGAGUCAAUGCUCCAGACUCGCCGGCUUCUAGGCCCAUUUCGAACCUUCCGGAAGCGCGGCACGGAAUAAAUACUCCGCUACCCCUAACCUCACUCCCCCUCUCGAUCCGGAAACCUCUCAAACCCUAGCCGCCUCCUGCAAGUUUCAGAGCUCAGGAAUCUGCGCCAUGGCGAGUGAGACGGAGACCUUCGCAUUUCAGGCUGAGAUCAACCAGCUGCUCUCACUCAUCAUCAACACCUUCUACUCCAACAAGGAGAUCUUCCUCCGCGAGCUUAUCUCCAACUCUUCCGAUGUAAGUGACCCCGUUUAAGUCGAAAUCUAGACGCAUUUCAGUGCGCUAUUAGUGAUAUAGGUUGGAUGCCUUACUGUUUGGGCGACGACUUGUGCUAUGGUGCGAUUACACGUUGCGAGAUGUCCAAUCUCUUCGGCAUACAUCCGAAUCUGUGCAGCUCGCGCUUUCUGUGGGGUUAAUGCUGUGUCUGACUUCUGAUUUUUUUUUGCGCUCCUGAUUUUGUGUUUUGGCUCGGUGCUGUUUAUUUUGCACGAUUUUUGCAGGCGCUGGACAAGAUCAGGUUCGAGAGUCUCACUGACAAGAGCAAGCUCGAUGCGCAGCCUGAGCUUUUCAUCCACCUUGUCCCAGACAAGGCCACGAACACGCUCUCCAUCAUCGACAGCGGCAUCGGCAUGACCAAGUCCGACCUUGUCAACAACCUCGGUACCAUCGCCAGGUCCGGGACGAAGGAGUUCAUGGAAGCUCUUGCUGCCGGCGCUGAUGUGUCCAUGAUUGGCCAGUUCGGCGUCGGUUUCUACUCUGCCUACCUCGUCGCCGAUAGAGUUGUCGUGACCACCAAGCACAACGAUGACGAGCAGUACGUGUGGGAGUCCCAAGCGGGCGGGUCGUUCACUGUUACUCGUGACACGUCAGGGGAGCAGCUUGGCAGGGGCACUAAGAUCACACUGUUCCUUAAGGACGAUCAGGUAUGCUGCAAGCUGCUUCAAUCAAAGAUCGUUAUUAUGUUUUUUGUUGCAAUGCAUAAUGUAAUCGUGUUCUAGUGGCACAAGCCAAGUGUGCCUGUGUUUUGUCUAGCUGUCCUUGUCCUUUAACUAGUGACUGUUCUGUUUUGAUUCUAGAAUAGAUAGAUCACUGUUAUGCCUGAUGUCAUCUACGAGUCCUAAGAUGGUAAAGCUUAUGAGAAAUAUAGGCUUGUGCUAAUUUUGGCUUAUGGAUGCAAACACCAAUAGUUUUGGGUCAUCAAGUUGUCCCACAAUUUGCUAAAAUGAAUAAUAAUGGCACCACCUCAUUAAAUUUUAGGGAGAGGAUUCACUUAAAUGGUGCGCUAGUAUUAUUAGUUACUGAUCCAAAGUAAGCCAUGGGUAGAACACUUGCAUCCCCAUGUAGAGUAUUUCACAAGUGUUAUUUGCUAUAGCUUACUUGGCUUAUCUACAUUUACCUUGAUAUUCCAUCAUAUACACAUUUGUGGAACAGCUCAACAUGAUCUUUUGCAAAUUGUGAUCUUAAUUACAAGCCAACCUUUUUAUCAGGGAGAUGUUGCACUGCAAAUUAGCACUUGCAUACUUAAUGAAGCAUCCAAGUUUGUUAAAUAACUGUGUUACAUAAUCUAGUCAGUUGUUCAAAUAAUGUGUUUAUCAUUUUGAAGUGAACAUGCAAUUGUUUUGUGCUGUGGGAGUAGGUGGCACAUAUUUUGGGAUACAUUGAUUUUUAUAUAUGCUUGCUUUGCUGCAUCCAUUAAAUGUGCAAAAUGUUCUUUAUAAUGUCCUGUAAAGAAAAUAAAUUGGUUAAAUAUAGAGCCUUUAAGCUAACGGUACAAACUACAUGAACUUAUUCUCUUGUCAUCAAUUGCCUCCUUGGUUAUUUAGAAAUGUAUUUAGAUUAUUCUGUAUUGAAUUGUUUUUUCUGUGGGAGCUGCUGGUGUUACUUGUAAUCACAUUUCAACUUCUCUCUUGCAGCUGGAGUACCUUGAGGAGCGUCGCCUCAAGGAUCUGGUCAAGAAGCACUCUGAGUUCAUCAGCUACCCCAUCUCCCUGUGGACUGAAAAGACAACAGAGAAGGAAAUUUCUGACGACGAAGACGAGGAAGAGAAGAAAGAUGCUGAGGAAGGAAAGGUUGAGGAUGUUGAUGAGAAGGAAGAGAAAGAAAAGAAGAAAAAGAAGAUCAAGGAGGUUUCUCAUGAGUGGUCAUUGGUCAACAAGCAGAAGCCCAUAUGGAUGAGGAAGCCAGAAGAAAUCACAAAAGAAGAAUAUGCUGCCUUCUAUAAGAGCUUGACAAAUGACUGGGAGGAGCAUCUGGCUGUGAAGCACUUCUCUGUGGAGGGUCAACUGGAGUUCAAGGCUGUUCUCUUUGUUCCUAAGAGGGCCCCCUUUGAUCUCUUUGACACCAAGAAGAAGCAAAACAACAUCAAGCUCUAUGUGCGCAGGGUGUUCAUCAUGGACAACUGCGAAGAGCUGAUCCCUGAGUGGCUGAGCUUCGUUAAGGGUAUUGUUGACUCUGAGGACCUUCCCCUCAAUAUCUCUCGUGAGACUCUUCAGCAGAACAAGAUCCUGAAGGUGAUCAGGAAGAACCUUGUGAAGAAGUGUGUUGAGCUCUUCUUUGAGAUUGCUGAGAACAAGGAGGACUACAACAAGUUUUACGAGGCUUUCUCCAAGAACCUCAAGCUUGGCAUCCACGAGGACUCGCAGAACAGGACCAAGAUCGCCGAGCUUCUGAGAUACCACUCCACCAAGAGUGGUGAUGAGCUGACCAGCCUCAAGGACUACGUGACCAGGAUGAAGGAGGGACAGAAUGACAUAUACUAUAUCACUGGUGAGAGCAAGAAGGCAGUGGAGAACUCCCCCUUCCUUGAGAAGCUGAAGAAGAGGGGCUAUGAGGUUCUGUACAUGGUUGAUGCCAUUGACGAGUAUGCUGUUGGUCAGCUCAAGGAGUUUGAGGGCAAGAAGCUUGUCUCUGCCACCAAGGAGGGUCUGAAGCUUGAUGAGACUGAGGACGAGAAGAAGAGGAAGGAGGAGCUGAAGGAGAAGUUUGAGGGGCUGUGCAAGGUCAUCAAGGAGGUUCUGGGUGACAAAGUUGAGAAGGUGGUGGUGUCUGAUCGCGUUGUGGACUCACCGUGCUGCCUUGUGACUGGCGAGUAUGGCUGGACCGCCAACAUGGAGAGGAUCAUGAAGGCACAGGCCCUGAGGGACUCGAGCAUGGCGGGCUACAUGUCGAGCAAAAAGACAAUGGAGAUCAACCCAGAGAACCCUAUCAUGGAUGAGCUCCGCAAGCGUGCCGAGGCUGACAAGAAUGACAAGUCAGUCAAGGAUCUCGUGAUGCUGCUGUUCGAGACUGCUCUCCUGACCUCCGGCUUCAGCCUGGAUGACCCCAACACCUUCGGCAACCGGAUCCACCGCAUGCUCAAACUCGGUCUGAGCAUCGAUGAGGACGAGCCUGUUGAGGCAGAGGCUGAGAUGCCUCAGCUUGAGGACGACGCUGGUGAAAGCAAGAUGGAG